rnacentral:lncRNA from 1 species
GAGAGUUGAUUCACAUGUGAUAUGAAGUUGUAAAGUUGAGAAUAGCUUGAAGUUGUAUUCGACCUGGGGCCCUUCCAAGUUCCAAAGAAAAGCCUCGACAUUCCAUCAGAAUUUUAGGUGAAAGAACUUCGGAUUAUAUUAAGUCAAGAUACCAAUUUUUCCAUUACAUUGAAGGAUCCUGAAUUUACAUUAGAGAUGUGAGCCAAAACAGAUGGCAAACGCGGGGGGUGAGAGCUAGACAAGAGCACCACCUUUAAGAUAUUCAGUGAAGGCGAGUGCAACCAGACCCAACAUGGCAAACCUCCCAUUCCACAUCUCCGCAUCAGAAGUCAUCAACCCCUUCGAUUUGGACUCCACGCUCACACCUUUGAACAAGGGAAUCAGAGAAGCCAGUGAGAGUACAACAGCGGUUCCCAGGAACCAUGGAAUCCCACCGUUGGAUAUCUGAGCAAACACAUCCUCACCCUUCCAUAUUUCCGCACCCAUUGCCGCAACAAAGCCUACCAUGGCAAGCCUGCCGUUGAUCCUCUCCGGUGCCGGCCCACUAAAUGCGAACACAUCCCCAAAUUUAGUGCUCACCUGCCACAAAAUUCAAAAACAUAUAUAUAUUCUCAUGUUAUAAACCCCACCGGAAAAGUGACCAUGGAAAGAAGUUACCCGCGGACUUUACAUACCUUAGGCGCAGGAGGAGGAGGAGGAGGAGGGAUCGGUUGACGUGACUGUGAGAGUGAGGGUGGCUGCUGGGGGUUGGUGGUGACAGGAGGUGGCCGUUCGAUUUGGCCAUCCUGCACAAUGGUUACGAGAUCAGUUGUCAAAAUCCCAUAAAUCGGCUGACAUUAUCUGCUAUGAUCUGAGUGGAGGUUGAGAUCUUACCUCCUUGGUGCACCGCACCUGCACAGCACUCCUUUGAAGACGUAGCACCGACCUGGGAGGGACGACCUGGAGAUCUCUGGUUCUGUUGGCUACGCGUGUCAUAGCUGUUGCAAGGGUGGAUUGCAUGGUGGUUGCCAUGGCCAUCAGCGUCGACUCCGAAAUUCUUAGCGAGUCGUGCAAGGGCUUCCAAUGGCGCUAUGAUGCUAUGGCGAUGCUACUGUGUACUUCUGAGUGUGGGUAUGAAGAUUGGAGCCUGGCAGCAUUAUUUAUAACGUGGGAGGGUAAAGGCUAAAGCGAGGUGUGGACAUUUUGAGUUCCACGUCAUUUUCUCAGAGUUGUCCAGAGAUUGGAUCACGUGGGCUCAUAUUUGUCCACACAUGUAUAGGUUGACGACGUGGUCUCUGCUCCGCUCCACACAAUAUCACCAUAUGUUAGGUUGACGACGUGGGCUCCGCUCCCAGCACCCACAAUAUCAUCGCAUGUGGCUGUCGAGUCUGCCUUGUUCUAGGUUUUUCCAGCCCCGAAAUUAGGCAGAUGUCCAUUUGUUAUGUCAUUAAAUUCAUCUUCGUCAACCAUAACCAUUCACACCUUUGCACAAAUUAAAUUCAGAAUUAAUUUGAAAACUUGUACACUGCUUUAAAAUAUUAUUUAUUUUUAUCAUAGAUGUUUUGUUUUUCUUUAAAAAAUCUAUGUAGUUUAUAUUUAUAAUCGAUGUUAUACAAAUUUCAUAUCAUAAUAUCAAUAUUCUAAAUUUUCUUUUAUUUUCAAACGUUACAUAACCAUAUUAAUCCCAUAUUGUUACGUGACAUGGCAUUAAAACUAAAAGAAAUUUUAUAUCAUGCCGUUUUUCAAAUCAAAAUUUUGCUGGGAAGCUCACAACAGAUGUGGAAUGGCUGCCCUGAUAGUUUCAACUCCUCAUCAAUCAAAAACUUGAGGCCCUCGAUCACGAAAAAUUAAUCCCACAAAUUACAGAUUAUCAGAAACUACUACUGCAGUAUCUGCGUUAAUCAAUAGGCGGACUUUUAGAGAACAAGACCCACAAGGAAGAAUAAACGAUGCGGGCAAAGAAUCUGGUGUCUGUAAAGAGAUCUUGCUUCCGUCCCUAAACACAGCAUACCCCAUUUCCCCCAAUUCAGACGAAUCAACAGAGAAGUAAUCACCGCAGCGACACUGGUAAAAGAGCUCUAAUACUUUGCCAUCAUCUUCAAUUGUCAUAUCCUCUAAGCUGAGAUCUUCAGCUGUGGCUGUAUCCUGUCUUGAAGCUUGCAGCCCACUAUCAUAAACAGCUCGUGACCUUGGAUCACUGAGGGUUUCCCAAGCCUUCUGUAUUUUCAGGAAUCUAUCUCCUGACUCAGGAUCAGUAUUGGAUGUCUCUGUUGUCUUUUGCAAUUUAUCAGGAUGGGAAUUGAGGAUGGCAGAUCGGUAGCAUCCACGGAUCUCUUCAUAGCUUGCAUCUUCCUUGACAGAGAGAAUGUCAUAGUAAGUUUGCUCAAAGGAGUUCUUAUAAAGAAGCAUGGUUUGAUUCCACUUGCAUCAGACUGCUUUCCCUGCAAAUGCAAUGAAAACUGUCAUAUUAUCUACUUUGUAGUAAAUUCAAUGACCAAACCCACCUUCAGAAUGGUGACAAUGUCUACCCUCUGAUGCAGAAAGAUGUCUGACUAUAGUGUAAUCUUUAGACUGUUACACUUCUAAUUUAACUUUUACCUUCUUUUUGGGAAUACCAAACUUUGGAUCAGGCAGACGCACAUUUAAACUUUACCCGGUUUUAGCCCAGACCAACAUAUAGUUGAUUGGAAAAAGGUUAUUCCAUGCUGAAAUUUCUAAACACUAUGUUAACUAAUCAAACAGUUUUGAACUUUAACUGGAUCAGAUUAUGGUAAAAAUAAAUAAAUAAAAUAAAAAGAAUGAGCAACUAAGAAAUCCAAAAUAGAGGGGCUCUAAAAGUGAUUUAAUGAAGAACUCCUUCAAUCUUUGAUCUGAGAGUUCAUCAUUAUCGAAAGUUCUUCAGUUGUACUCCUUCCAAAUACACCAAAAUAAACAAACCGGAGCCAAGCGCUGAACCUUUCUUUUUUUAUCUAGCCCCUUAAAUUUUCAUUCAAGGAGGAUAUUUCUCACUGAAAUCAAAGACACCCAAAUUGUGCCAAAAACUGCUACCAGAAAAGUUCAUAGCAUUCUUGUCUUAUCACAAUGAAUCAAGAUGUGAUUAGCCAAUUCUUCAUCAUCUUUACAAAAGUUGCAUCUAUUGAUGAUGGGUCAUCUCCCCUUCAUUAACAUAUCUAUAGUUAAGAUCUUCCCCAAACAACUUCCCAUGCAAAAAAUUAAAAAACAAGCUAAGUGGAGCAUGGAAACCCCAAAUCUUUUUGGCUGGAAAUACUAAAUUAUUCUCAGCACUUGAGGAUUUGUAGUACAACUUGACACUAAAGUUUCCCCUCCUAUCAUCUUUCCAAAGUAAAUUGUUCUAUCCUACUCACACUUUCAAUAAGUAAAUAAGUCCCAAAAAUUGGGUCCCCUCCUCUAUCUCUCAAUAUUGGAAGGGUCUAAAUUAAACCUCCCAAUGGCCACCUCCGGCUCCUCCUUCCUCCCAUAAAUCUGCAACCGUAGCACUUUUGGAAGAGUCUAUUCUGAAAAGUGCAGGUGUCCUCCCUCUCAUAAAAUGUUUACAUCAACAAAUGGAAUAUGUGACCCAUACCAAAUAGCUGCUAGUUACCCGAAUAUAUAUAUAUUAUAAGUAAGAGGGUGAAUUAAUAAAUGCUUAAAGCAUACAAAAGUACACGGGUCGUAUACAAAGAGCACCAAACAAAAAGCAAGAAAGAGGGUACACAAAAAACUACUCCCUCCUACAUCCAAGACCCAACCAGUCUAUGAAAUCAACCAAAUGUGUAUAUCCUCCACCUAUAUAUACCCUAAUCCCAUGCAAAGAAAUUGUUAAGGAAAAUAUUUUUUAGCCUUUAAUUUGAUAAUUCCUCACAUUCAAAGAAUCUCCUAUUUUUUUUCCUUCUAGAUUGUCCAAAAAAUACAAGAAGCAGCUUUGCUAGUUACCCGAAUAUUGAACGCAAUCAUCACAUUAGACAAAAUGGCACAAAGAAUAUGAAAUCCAACAGUGAGCCAGUGCCUCAAAGUUUGCUGUGACAACUGGGUAGUCUUGAAUGGUUGAAAAAAUCAGUACUCCCCAUUCAACAACAAUGAUGUUUACAAUGCUUUUAGAAGAAAUGGAUAUUCUUUGGCAAAUAAGAGAGUGAAGUCGUUCCCUUUUGACAUAGUUUGGAAUUCUUGGGUACCAUCAAGAAUUAGCUUUUUUGUUUAGGAAACAACUUAGACAAAGAUUUUGACUCUAGAUCAACUCAAAAAAAGAGGUUGGAGGAUUCCUAAUAAAUAUUACUUGUUUAAGGAAGAAGAAGAAACGAAUGACCAUAUUCUCACUCAUUGUUCAAAAGCUUGCUUAUUAUGAUAGUUGAUUUUUGCUUACUCAGUUCUACAACUCACGUAUUUCUACAGCAACUUACUCAGUUCUUGUUAAUGGCACACCGACAAGAUUUUUCAACAGCUCAAGGGGGUUGAAAAAAAGGGACCCCCUUUCGCCCUAUCUUUUUGUGAUAGGUAUGGAAACCUUAAGCUGUUUGAUUAAGAAAGCAGUUAGUGGGGGCCAUUUGACAAGCUGCAGGGUUAAAGGGAGGGAUGGUGAGGGAGUUCAACUCACCCAUCUGUUGUAUGCUAAUGAUAUGCUGAUUUUUUGCGAAGCCUCUACGGAACAACUAACUCACCUAAACUAGGUGUUAAUGUGGUUUGAAGCCAUCUCUAGUUUAAGAAUUAAUUUGGACAAAAAUGAGAUCCUACCAGUGGGGAGGGUGGAGAAUUUGGAGGAGUUGGGCCUUGAGCUUGGGUGUAAGGUGGGGACACUCCCUCAUACUCAGGGCUUCCUUUGGGUGCCCCUCACAAAUCAGCGACAGUUUGGGAUGGUAUGGAAGAGAGGUUUUGGAAGAGAUUAGCUAUAUGAAAGAGGCAAUAUAUAUUUAAAGGAGGAAGACCCACUCUCAUUCGAAGCACUUAGUCCAAUAUGUUUAUUAACUAUAUGUCUAUUCUACGUACGCCUAGAUCGGUUAGAUUGAGACUUGAGCAAAUCCAAAGGGAUUUCCUUUGGGGUGAGGGGCUUUGGAGUGGAAGACUCAUCUUGUUAAGUGGACGGUUGUAUGCUUAGAUAAAAGUAAGAGUGGUUUGGGUGUUAGAUGCAUUUCUAAACUUAAUGGAGCCCUUUUGGGUAAAUGGAGUGGCGCUUCAUGGUAGAAAGGGAAGCUCUUUGGAAACAAGUUAUUAGUAUGAAGUAUGGAGUGGAAGAAUGGGAGGGGUAUACCCUUGAAGGAAGAAAGGGUUUUGGAGUGGGGUUGUGGAAGGANNNNNNNNNNNNNNNNNNNNNNNNNNNNNNNNNNNNNNNNNNNNNNNNNNNNNNNNNNNNNNNNNNNNNNNNNNNNNNNNNNNNNNNNNNNNNNNNNNNNUUGUUGAGCAACAACAUUGUGUUUUCCGUGGGUAAUGGUAGAAGAGUAAGAUUUUGGAAGGAUUCUUGGUGUGGUGAUGAGGCUUUAUGCUACACUUUCCCCUCUUUGUUUGCUUUGGCGGUUUCAAAAGAGGAGUGGGUGGCGGAGGUUUGGGACCCAUCGGUUGAGGGGGGGAUUUGGAGUCCUCAUUUUUCUAGGGCUUUCAAUGAUUGGGAGGUAGUCUUGGUGGAACAGUUGCUCAUGACAAUUCAAGGGAAGAGGGUUACCGCAGAAUUGGAGGAUAAGGUGGUUUGGAAAAAGACAAAAAAUGGGAUUUUCACUAUUAAGUCUCUUUAUAGUGCAGUAGAGCCAGGAAAUACAGUCCGGUUUCCAAGGAACAUCAUUUGGUGUCCUUAUGUUCCUCCCAAAAUGGGUUUUUUUGCUUGGGAAGCCUCGUGGGGGAAAGUUUUAACAUUGGAUCAGCUUAAGAGGAGGGGUAGGACCCUAGCUAAUAGACGUUUCUUUUAUCUAGCCGACAAGGAGUCUACUAAUCACAUCUUAAUCCACUGCACGAAGACUAGGGUUUUGUGGGAGUUAUUAUUUGCUCUCUUUGGGGUGACUUGGGUUCUCCCUUGCUCGGUAAGGGAGACUCUCCUUGGAUGGUAUGGGUCCUUUGUUGGUAAAAAGCACAGAAAAGCUUGGAAGCUAGCUCCUUUAUGCCUUUUUUGGGCAGUGUGAAAGAAAAGAAAUAGGAUAGCAUUCGACAAUGAAGAGUUUUUGGUUCAUAGGUUGAAGUAUUCUUUUGUGUGUAGUUUUUGGUCUUAGACAAAGUUGUAUAUAAAUGUUGGACCUUUACCUUUAAUCGACUUUUUUGAUUGGUUGGAUUCUAAGUGAGGGCGGAUGAGGUUUUUUGUAUCCCCUCCUUUUUUGUUUUUCUUUGCUUAUGGCACCUACUGUAUACUUCCUGUAUGCCUUGGAUUGUCCUCCAAGCUCCCUUUUUCUAAUUUAUAUAUUCUCUAUGUUUACCUAUCAAAAAAAAAAAAUGAUAGUUGAUUUUUGCAUUUUUUUUUGUGUCAAGUGGGUGAUGCCCUCUUUAGUUAGAGAGGUCCUUAUGAGCUGGCACAGGUCUUUUGUUGGUAAAAAGAGAAAAAAAAAGCUCGGAAGGUUACUCCGUUGCGUUUAUUUUGGACCUUAUGGAAAGAAAGAAAUAAGAGAGCUUUUGAUAAUUGAGAAAGCUCGGACCCAAUAAUUAAAAAUUAUUUCCUAUACCUUUUGGGAUUGGAUCAGAUUGUAUAUUGGGGAUGGUUCUUUGUUGUUGAUAGAUAUUGUGGAUUGGCUAGGCUCUCCAUAAGGCACGGUUGCUGAUUUUUGUGUCUUCGCGCCUCUUUUUUAGUCUUUGGUUUUCUUUGAAUACGUUGUGUAUACCUCUUUUUUAUAAACACACUCAUCAUUUACCUAUCAAAAAAAAAAAAAAAAAUCAGCAUGAAAUUAUUGCUCAAAACUCCAUCUUUAAACUUUUUCCUGAUCUAUUGAGCAUUCCCAAGUUUAUCAACUCUUAAAGCAUAUUUCAUUGAAUUCACCACCAGAAAAAAUUCAAACUUUGGGGUUUAUGCUGCCUCUCAAGCUUGAUUGUGGCAUUAAGUCUCAAAUUUAAAAAACCAUCAUCACAUAAGAAUCACACCUCGAAUUUAGGGUAGGCUUUAUACCAUAUCCUUUAGCCCAUUUGUAGCCAAAAAAACACCCUCAAUAACUUGAUUGGGCCUUAUCACACAACUACUUGAGAUUGACCAUCCAUGUCAGUGCUUCUCCUUCAAAUUGAUCACGAUUCAAAUAGUUUAUUUUGAUCAUAGGACAAUUUUCCUCCUGGAAAGACAGCUUCCAUUAUGUUUAAUCACCUAUUUUCCAUGUAGCACCAUCAGCUACAGCCCACCUCUCCUUACUGUUUGGUCUCUUUCUAAUAACUUUCCAUUCCAUGAUGUUGUCUAAUCUCCUUGGAACACCAUCAUCCUUUCCCCAAACUUUGUCACAGUGGUUUUUCUCCCCAAACAAUCCCUCUUUCCAGAAAAUUUUCACAGCCAUUUUCCUAGUAAAGCUUUACUGAGCACCAAUAACAUCCUGACACCUAAACCACCCUUGCUUGUUUGAGCUACAGUAGUUUUAUAAGUGUUUCUUGACUUUGCAAUGUUCUAUUCCAUGAAGCACAACUAGCCUUGCAAUCGUCUAAAAACGCUUCUUCCUAAUGAUGACCUUAAUUGCACAAUAACCUGAAACAUCCUUCAUACCCAAUGCCUAAGAAACAUCUUCUUCAGUAUCCCUCCCUUGGGAGGGAUUGAAAAAAUGUAUAUGGAUGUUCUCCUAGCAGAAAAUAAACCAAGUUUAAAUGGUCAUUUUUGAGCAUCUUCAAUCCCUAAGCAUUUUUUUUUUUCAUUUCCUUAGCUCUCUCCCGCACCAAACCUACCAAAAAUCAACUAAACCGUAAGUUUUAGGUAAAGUGCAAUUUUUUGUAUUCUCGAACCCUAGAUGGUGAAAAAUCUACCAAUUUCUUAUUCUUUUCUCAGCAUGCAAACAAUUAUAUCUAACGCAGAAUUCGAUUGAUUGAAUUGGAAAUAGAGAUUCAAACAGUACCUUGAACUCAGAGAUCGACCGAGUCGCAGCGUUUCAAGAAUGGGUGAUUGAAUGCUUUUUUGUAAAUAGAGGUUGAAUGCUCUUCUGUAAACAAUGAUCGGGCUACCUUGAACUCGGAGAUCGACCAAAACACAGCGUUUGUAGAGCAAUGAUUGAAUGCUUUUGUGUAGGCUGAGAGUCUGUGAUCAAGGUAUUUUGAACUCAGAGAUGGCCGAAACCAGCGUUUGGGUUGCUUUUGUGGAAACGGACGUGAGUUUCGUCGGGUAGUAAUGGGCUGAGGCGGGCACAACCCGGCCCAUUUCUUGAAUUAUUGAAUUAUUGAGGUGUAGCUGGGCUGAUUUCCAAUACAAAUCAUAAAUUUCUUUAUUCAGGUUUGGUUUGGAUGAAAUGCAAUUCACGAGUAGCCCACUAAAUGGUGAUUCAACGUAAAUUUUACAUCUUGGAACCAAACCAAUUUUGGAGUAGCUUUGUGAUGAUGGAACCAACCAGAAAAAAGCGUUAUGAUUGCAAAGAUCAAUGUGCCUAGCACAAUAAAGUCGUAGUUCACUGAUUAUUCUCACUGCAUCUAAAAAAAAUCAAAUAUUAUUUGCAUUCCUCGAAAAACCUCAUUUGUGUCACCAUUCAAUAUUUCUUAGCCCACUAUUGACCAAACCAAGGAUGAAAGUUUCCAUUUUUUUCGCCGAAAUUUCCGGUUUCGGUGGUCGGCGAUACGAAAGAGGGGGGCGAAAUAUCGAUGGGAGAAAUUUCGCCAAAUUUCGGUUAAAAUCGGCGAAAAAUUUGCCGAAAAAUGGAUGCAGACGAAAAAUCGGCGAAAUCUUCAAAAAAAUAGCCGGACACUGCAAUUUAUCGGCGAAUUUUCGGUUUGUAUAGCCGAUUUUUUUUCCGAUUUUUCUGAAAAUUUCCCGAUAUUUCCUACCAGUCCAGCCCGCGCACAGGUGACAAAAUCUGAUCAUGAUUUGCAGGCAAAGGUUGUGUUUUUUAGCCUGGCUCAAAAAUCGUGGAUUUAGGGUUCGUGAAAUUUAAAUCCAAUGGCACAAAAGCAAAGCGACCCCUAGAACAGAUCCAGAAAACACAGGAAGCAAAAAAAAAAAAGCAAUCUUUCUGGUUUUCCUGGGGGGUUUUGCAUGGAUUUUCUCGGAAAUCAAACGAGGAUGAAUUUUCCCAGAAAUCGAAUGGGGGAUGGAUUUUCAUGGGAAUCAAACGGGGUUGCAGAAAAAUGAAAAUAAAUAACAAGAUUAGAUUAGUACCUGGGAGGAUUGAGAGUGGCAGAGGAAAAUAGGGCCUUUUUAGGGAUUCUCUCGUCUGGAGGGCAACUUCAGAAAAGGGCUUCGGGCUUCUUGAUGCCCGAGUGAGAGAAGUGGGUGGCCUUUUUAUUUUUAGAUUUAGUAGAGAUUAAAAAAAAAAAAGGAAACAUAUCAUGAUAACAAUUUUCCUCUCUCUAUAUAAAUAAUUAUUAAUUAUUUAUGAUUAAAUCACUACUAUGGAUUAAAAUUAAUUUAAUAAGAUAAAUUAUUAAUAAUUUUAAUUAUUUAAAUAAAUUAAUGUUAAUAAAAAAAAGUUGUUACCACAUAUUUUUAAUAAAAUUUUAAAAAUUAGAUCUUAAAUAAAAUACUUUAUUGAUAUUUCAAUUUGGACCCCAGUGUAUCGGAUGGUCCAAAUUGAAACUGGAUGUGAUCCAAUAGUCAAAAUUGAACCUCAAGCUAUGUGAUAAUAUGUAUAAAUUAUUGAUAUUUACUAAAAUAAGUUUUUCAUGAAACUUCAUAAUGAGUGUAUAAGUACAACUAAUAUAAUAUAAUUAUGCUUAAUAUCACAAAUCAUAUUAUAUAUAUAUAUCAAAUUCUUCACCAAAACAACUUUAAAUUAUUUAUUAUACUUUUAAUUACAUUAACACGAGGUUUUUUUACAUUUCCAUAAGUUUUGAUCAAUUUUUUACUUAUCAAAAUUUUUUUUCAAAAUAUCCGUCGCUAUUUCUUCGAUAUAUCCGUAAAAUCAAGUUACCGAUAUAUCCGUGAUUACCGAUAUUUUCAUCAUUGGACCAAACUACCACUAGAUCCAAUGUGAGUAGGAUCACUUAGCCAUGCUUCAUGAUUGAAAAAACGAGCACCGUGAAAAUACAUGUCACUUAACCAAAGAAUGAUGAUGGAAAGUUGCCCGAAAUGGACACUAGAUACUUUUAAAUUCAAUCCAGUCUUAUUUUAACAUCAAGAUUUUCAAUCCAUAUUCAAUUUCAUCAGGUAGGCUUCACAAAUUUAAUAAAUAAUUUAAGUUUUAAAAUUUAUCUAAUUUAUAUUCAUUAAUAUGUUAAUUUUAUAAUUAAUUAAUAUAACUCUAAAUCACUUGAACUGAUAUUAUAUUAAAUUUAUAUCCUUCAAUUUGCAGGACCAAAACCUUCAUCUCAAUGACUUUAUAUCCUCUUCCUCUUCAUGUGAUUCUUGCGGUUCAAGUCCUCCAAAUUUUGAAUUUUCAACGUUGUAAUGAAUUUAUUUGGAAUAUAGCAGGAAAAGAAGGGAUCAAACAAGAAGAAAGUGAUGGAAAAACCUCAAAGGCCUCCACAUGCUAUUCUCAAUUUGUGCUUCACUUAGAUCACAUCGCCACUUAUUCAUUGUUUUGACAAACUGCCCUUGCAAAAUGCUGGCGGUGGGAAGCAGAUUUAAUACUUCACAUAAUUGAUAUUGAAAAUGCUUACAUGGUUUGAAUUUUUACAGGAAUAUAAGGGGAACUCUUUCAGAAAGUGGAAUGUCUUGCCUGUUACUUAACACCAACACAAGCACUCGUUCAAUCUCUGGCUUUGGCAUGCACCAUAUCUUCUUCUUUGUACUUCAGUAAUUUUCUAUUUUUUUGGUGGGGUAUCUGCUAACUUCCAAUUGUACUCAAAUAAAAAGCUGAGAUCUCUAUUGCCAUUCACUUCAUCAAGAGGCACAGCAUCACAAAUUUCUUUCAGAUCAUCCUCAGUAAGCUUCACUCCCAAGGAUCCAAUGUUAUUGUCAAGGUUCUUAACUUUGGUUGUCCCUGCAAGCACAACAUCAAAAUGCCACAUUAUAGUAUGUUGUAAAAAUAGGACAUUGCCAUAACCACUCUCAACUGCAAAACAUAAUGAAGUAGAACUCAGCAUUUGAGUUUGUGGCCGGGCAAUGGAAAGAAGAGAAGUCAUUUUGAAAAGAAAUAAAAGCUACUGGGUAAACAAACAGACAAGAAAAUUGAAGGGAAGGAAGAGCGUAAUUUACCAGGGAUCGGAACCACGUCAUCUCCCUGAUGGAAAAGCCAUGCCAGAGCAAGUUGAGGAAGAGUGCAGCCAUGUUUUGCAGCCAGUUUCUCAAGGCGGGCAUAUAUAAGUUUGUUCUUCUCUAAAUUCUCUCCAGUGAACCUUGGAUGCAUAGUCUGUGGCAGGAAUGUCAGUAUGAAUUUAAAUAACUGAUUCCAAUGCUAAAAAAAUGAUCGAUGUUCUUUGCCCAUCAAAAGAAGUAAAAAAAACUCAGACGGAGAAGAACCUAUAUUCAAAUUACUAAAUUUUUAUCUAUAGUUACUGACCAGGAUACUCUGAGUGGGCAAGCUCUCCACAACUGCCUUCCCACCAAAGAAUCCACGACCAAGAGGGCUAUAUGCUACUAUUCCAAUACCAAGCUCUCUGUGAGUAACAGAUAAGAAGAGAUUCAGAGUUCAUGAUUUAAAUUCUGUAAUAUUCUCAAUCCCUCAGCUUUUUCAGGCUGUUCUUCACCCUGUAUAAAAAACUUAAAGGUUUGGUUUAGUAAUGCAAACAUUAAAGCUAGAUAACCAACCGGCAGAGUGGAAUUAUAUCUUCUUCAAUUUCACGGGCCCAGAAAGAAUACUCCAUUUGUAAGGCAGUGAUGGGAUGAACUGCAUGGGCUCUCCUUAUUGUGUCUACACUAGCUUCAGAUAAACCGAUGUAUUUUAUCUUUCCCUCCUCCACCAACUUCUUAAGCUCCUCCAUCUAAAUCAAACAAAAUUAAUCAUCCAUCAAAUUUUGAUGCAGUUUCAUACAUUAGAAACUAGAUGAAACCGAAAAUACGAAGAAAAAGAAUAUUUGAUACUCACUGUAUCCUCUAUUGGGACUGACAUGUCCACACGAUGCUGAUAGUAAAGGUCAAUGUAGUCCACACCAAGCCUCUUUAGACUGGCUUCACAGCAGUCCCGAACAUAUUCAGGGGUACCCUUUAUCACAACCUUACCGACCUCUAACACCUGAAGGCCAAAUUUUGUAGCUAAUUGAAUUUCUUCCCGAGGGAGCUCCUUCAGAGCCUGAAAAUAUAAGGAAAAAGACUACCCAUCAACUUAAGAACAUGAUUCAAUCCCAUGGAUGAUUCGGCAACAGAUUCAUACUUCAAUAUAAAAUUUUGGUUUGCCUGUGUGUGACUUUCUUUUCUUUCUUUCCUCCCAUGAAACUUCCCAUUGAAAAAAAGUGAAGCACCAUGUGAAGGGAGAAAUUGGCCUUUCUAAAUGGUUCUUUUAUAUUCCUGAUUUACUCAGAUUUGAGCUUGAAAGUAAAAAACAGUACCUUUCCAACCAUGAUCUCAUUGUCAUGAUUUGCUCCAUAAAUAUCUGAUGUAUCAAAGAGGGUGACACCCUUAUAAAAAGCUUCCUUUAUAACUGAACAUCCAGCUUCAUGGGAGAGGGGUGAAUUAUAGAUCCCAGAAAGUCCUGCACAUCCAAAGCCCAAUCUAGAAACCUACAGAAGAAAAAAAGAGCAAAUUAUUAGAAUGAAAAUGAAUCUUUUCAUUUUUUCACAAAAAUUGCAAACAGAUAUUUGAUGAAAGCAGCAAACCCAGAUAUGAUUCAUUAAUCCAUAGAUCUGAACUGAUAGAGGAGGAUAUACAACAAUAAUCAAGCCAUACCCACAAUCAUGUUAGCUGAACAAAAUUAAAGAAGUCCCAAAAUAAAAAAAUAAAAAAAUGGGCAUGGUACAAAUGGGUGUGAGAAGAACAAACUCACCUCCAAUCCCUGACUGCCCAAUUUGACUCUUGGGAUUUUGAUCUGAGGCAUGUCCUCCAUUUUGGAUUCUCAGGAAGCCAAAGAAACAAGAUGCUGCAAAAAACAGGGAAAUGCUGUAGGUGCCCACCCACCUGCAACAUCUCAAGUUAAAAGGGGUACAAGUGCCGACCCGCAAAGGCAAUUGCUGGUGGCAGAAAGUUGAAACGAAUAUUCUGACGGCGACUAUUGUCACUUUCUUCCUGGAUGUAUAUGUGUUGGUGUAGACCCUCAUUUUGGGGUGUGUUUUGUGCAGAUCAUUUUGCCAGGUGGAAGGCUCUUGGAAGACCACAUGUCCACUCAUGGUUGGCUGUUGGGGAAUCAUGUUAGUGGAUUGAAGGGAAAAUGGGUGGAGGACACGUGUCAUGGGAAUAUUCAGAAACAGUUUUUUGGGUGGUGGGGGAGCAUAUUCGGUUAGACAGAGAUGAGAUAUUUUGUUGUUGGUUAGAGGAUGAGGGCAGGGAGGAAGCUUGAGGAGCAAGAAAGUUUUUGUUACAGAGAGGAGAGUUUUUGGGGUAUCUUGAGGGGCAAGGUUGUUGGAGAGAGAUAACCAGAGAAAGGGAGAGUUGCAGAGAGUUGGAAGGGGGGAGAAGGAGUGACAAUGGAGAGAGCUGAGUCCUUUGAGUGAGAACUGCUAGUUUCCAGAGCUAAGAGGGACAUUCAUCUAUGGUGGCCGUUUUUGGAAGGUUGCAAAGAAGAGGAAAAACCAGAGGGCAGCUCGCGGAUUUUCCGGGGAGCUUUUGGAGCAAGAACAGUUAGAAAUCCAUCACAUUUUGCUGGAGAGAAGCAUUUUCAGGUAUGUUUAUAUUGGAUUCCCCAUUCGUUUCAACUGGUAUGCUUUUCUUCUCUUUUUUUGUUGAUCCUUGGAUGAUGUUUGUUGAUUGGGAGUAAGCAUGUUCAUAUCUUCUUUUUUUUAAUGGUUUUAGCUGAAGAUUAGUUUGCCCCUGUUUCAGUUUCCCUAUGAGAUAUUUGUAACCAUGUUUUGAUUUUUAUUUGAUACUCGUUUGAUUUCACCCACUCUCGUCUAAGCCUGUUGAUUAAAAUAUGAAGCAUGGCUUGUACGGGUUCAUUUUUGUUCCUACCCUUUGUGCUCUGUCUUGUUAUCUUCCUUUGUUCUUGGUGUUCAUCCAUGGUGUGCAUUGGAUUUCUCACAUUUGCCUGAGGGAGCAAGGAGCUGCAGAUGACGUAUUCUCAGUACGCGGGUAGGAGAGGUUACAGCAUGCUGGUUCAGUUGUGGGGAAUGCUGAAAAUGGCUCAUGGAUGUUAAGGCUGCAUCGAUGUCAAUGCUGAAUCCAUGGUGGAGAUGAAAGCUACAGGAUCCAAGGGGAAACCUAUCAGCAUAAUGUAUUCUAUCAAGCAAGCUAUUCUUCUCUUCGUCUAUGCCAGAUUUGCCGUCAACUCUGAUCAUUGCUUCGUCUUUGCUACUCUGGGCAAAACCACUUCCUGGCUUCAGAGAGAGUUUAGCAAUGAAUUUGAUUCUGCAAUUGCUACACUUCGGGGCCUGUCAAUUGAUGGCUCUGGUGGUAAUGCAGAUCUGACCCAGUUAUUCAGGGUAGCAGCUCGUGAAGCAAAGGAAUCUCGUGCAUGAAAUCAGAUUUUCAGGUUAAUAUUAAUCUACUACAGAUUUUUUGCUCAUCCUUAGCAUCAGUGGCCUGCUAACCCGAAACUCUUCACUUUGGACGUGGUUUAUCUCCAUGACAAGCCUAGUCCUGAGAAUUGCCCACAAAAGGUCUAUGAUGCGCUUAUGGACGCCCUUGAACAUGUUAGUGAGCAUGAGGGCCCCACCUAUGAGAGCAGGCAGGAGCUAACACGUGUCCUUUUCCAUUAUAUGUGUGUUCUGUUAUCACAUCCUCAGCAACGUUGUCAAUCAGACGGCGUUAACAUACCUAAGCCCCUCACAAAAGAAGCUGCCAUUUUCAUCACCCAGGUCGUCAUUAUGCAUCACCCAGGUUAGCCCCUCACAAACGAGUACUAUCUUGUUCUUGGCUGCAACUCCAUCCACCCACAACCUCAAUCCAUAAUACCCACAUUUCCAUUUUUCAAAUACCCAUUAGACCCGUUUCUCUCACCACCCUCCAUCAUUCAUUUCAUCAAUGAUAUCCACACCCUUCAUAUCACCACAUUCCCACCUUCAACCUCAUCCAUACUCACCUUCAUUAGCCUAACCCAUUCUUCAUACUCCAACACACUCAUCCUCGUUCAAAUCCUCAAUCUUCCAAUACCCACCAAACCCAUUUCUCUCACCACCUCUUCCACUCAUUCCAUCAUUCGCUCCCCAUAAACUUCUUUCUCAUUCUCUUCUCUGUGCAUAUGACCCACGUGCAUGACCAUUUCGACGCAUGCAUGGCCUCUUUGGAUACCUCAUUUUCCAAGCCUACAAAUGCAUGAGAAUUUUCGUCAAUGGAGAGAAAUGUUUGUAUGUUAAGAAUGUGUCGAAAACUGUUAUUUGUGUGGAAUGGAGGUUCUAUCUUGCAAAUAACUUCAGGGUCACCCUCGACAGUCUUACUUUUAUGAUCUAUCAAGGCUUGAAUGUGGUAUUCUUCAACUAAGGACUGGAAAUUGUCAUGUCCGACAUGCGUUGUCUGGAAGGUGAUUGAUUCUGGGCAACGAUUGCUCUCAUUUCUCACCUUACUAUCCAGAACCUCCUGCUGGUUGCUUCUUAAGAACGUGAUUGUAGGGUAUGUGCAGAAUGAGAAGUACAGUGAUGCUAUUGGGGUGUUCCGGAGGAUGCCACAAAUCGGUGGUGUGGUGUCAAAUCACAUUACCCUUGUUAGUGUGUUGCCGGUUUGAGCGUAUCUUGGUUCACUUGAUCUGGGGCAGUGAAUUGAAAGAUUUGUCAAUCGAAGAGGGAUGGCCUUAGGUUCAUCAUUGGGGGAAUGCACUUGCAUGACGUGUAAACGAAGUCCGGAUGUAUAAUGGAGGUUAGAAGGGCAUUCGAUAUGAUGCAAGAGAUAAAUGAGAUCUCAUGGAGUAUGAUCAUAUGUGGGUUGGCCAUGUACGGACAUGCAGAUAAAACAUUUGGGAUGCUUUUAUGAAAUGCCCAACUGUGGAAUAAAUCCAAAUGAUGUUGUUUUCAUGGGAUUAUUGACAGAAUGCCAACUCGGGUAGUGAUGGGGAUAGCAGUUGUAGCUCCAGGAGACGUGCAACAAUGACAAGAUCAAAGCAAUUGGAGGAGCAUGGUGAAUUCAAGAAGCUGGAAAAGUCACCGAGUAUGGAUGACACUUGAAACCACCUAGAAGUUGUUGAAUAUGUUGCAGAAAUCUACCAGUACUGUUGGGUUACAAAGUUGCAGGCAUAGAAUCCAUCCAUGCAAAAUUAUAUGUCAAUUCAGUCAGACAUCAUACCUCAGAUACGGGGCAUAUUGAUCAAUUGGCUAAUUGAACACCAUUGCAGUCAUCGAGUACAGGCUAGAAGCAACCUUGCUUCAGGUGUAAGUGGCAAAAAUGAGAUCCAAAACAACACUUCUCAAAUGGGCAUCAGAGCCUUCAAUGGUGGGCUUUUAAAGGCAGCUGGGUGGGUUUUGGAUGUAGAAUGUGAUGUUUUGAAAAAAUUGGUGGAAAAGUAUCCAAAUUACACUUUCUUUUACUGGUCAUCCUCUUGGAUCAGGGGUGAUUGCACUAUUGACAAUGGUGGUGGUGCAUAGUGGGGAUAAAUUGGCAAAUUUUGACUGGAAGAGGAUCAGGUGCUAUGCAACUGUACCUACAAAGUGCAUGUCGUUAAAUUUGGCAGUGAGUUAUGCAGAUCUCAUCAAUUCUGUUGUGUUUCAGGACGACUUUCUUCCCUUGGCCACCCCUGCACGCUUCCAGUUGCAUGCCCACCUUUGGCAUGCAACCUUUGGCCACGUGACUUUUCUUUCAUUUCUUCAUUUUUUAUUUUAAAAAAACAAUUUCUCAGACUUCAUUUUGCAAAAUAAUUGCCCCAAUUCUAGUUUUUCAAAUAAUUUUAAUUCUUCAAAUUUUCAUCCUUAGAAUUUUUUUAAGCUUACCAAAAAUCCCAUUUUCCAAUAAAAUGUGCUACAAUUUUCUUCGGCAAGCAAUUUUCACAUUUUUUUAUUUUUAAAAUGUUUUAAAAUAAGCAUGAAUUUAAUUUUGUAAUUCCAAGUGAUGAAAUUUACGGAAUUAAUUCAUGCAAAAAUAAAUUGGAUUUUGGUGGGGGCCAACAUCAAAGAAGUUUUAUUUAACAAUAAAUUUGAGUGAAGUGCAGUGUGAUAGUUGAUGACUUCUUACUCUAUUUAGUGGCAUGUGUGACAUACUUUGUCUUCAUUAUUACGCACUGACCUCAUUUCAUGAAAGCGCAUUAGUGUUUGCUACUAAGGUACGCAUACACUUUCACUUUGACCAUUCUCUAUGUAUUGUUGUGACUCUCAUGUGUGUAAUAUCAUUUUGGUAUCUCUUGAUCUACUAAUCAAUUGUCAUGUUCGCUUCAUCUCAUUAGUAGAACCCCGUUUUUAGGGACGUAGAGGAGUGCUACGAUCUUUACCGUACCUUCCCAAUAAGUAACCUAACCCUCAAGCCUAUAUUUAGUUUUUCACUAACCGUCAUUUUCCAAAUAAGGAGUCACACUUAUGGUUUUCUUUCUUAUUUUGUUUACUCUUAAAAAAUAAAACAAAAAUAAGUGGCGAUUCCAAGUCAUUUUCUAAAAAAUAAAUCAUUUUCAAAUAAAAAGCGAAUUCGUCAUCGAGUAGAAACACAUGAGCAAAAAUGUGAGGUCCACAGUUGGACAUGCCACUCAAAGCAUUUUGGGAAUCUAUAAUACAUGUUAUAAUACAAUCUCUAGUACAAGUUGUAAUUUUUUUAACAACAAUUUUUAAAAACAGUUUAUAAUGCUUUCAGAGACAAAAAUGCUUUUGAAAACUGAAUUCUAAGACACAAUUUUUUGUUCUAAAAAAAAGAGUUAAUAAAAGCUAUUUUAUAGGAAAAGUAAAAUAAGAAAAAAAGACUUAUUUAAGAACUAUGUUUUAAAAUUGAUUGUUUUCUUUCAUUAACUUGAUGUUAUAAAUAUAAAUAAUUUUUAGAUUUAUACUUCAAUGAGUUAAAAGAAAAAUGUAUCCAUUUUUAAAAUUACUUGCAUAAAUUUUCAUUUUUGUAUACAAUUUUUAUAAUAUAUUUACACUUUAAUGAUUUAAUCAUUAGUUAGCCUAAAAUGCAAAUUACCUCAUCUUAGAAAAAAAAAUUGUAUCCAUUUUUUAAAUCACUUGUACAAUUUUUCUUUUUAUAUGCAAUUUUUUUUUAUAUAUUUUCGGUUGAUCAUUGGUUAGCCUAAAAUGUAAACCAACUCAACUCAACUCAUAAAUUUCCUCAACUCCACAACACUGCAUUCAAUGAGAAAAUCAUUCUUUUAUUACUUCAUUUAUUCAAACCAACUUGAAAAUGAAUCUCACUUAUGGAUAACACCAAGAGGGGGGUGAAUAUGUGUUUUUAAAAACAAUUGGAUAUGGUCUCUCACAAAUGCUCAUAAUUCCCUUGUUUUUCCCUUAUAAAAUGAUUUUUUUUUUCAACCUUAUGAAUAAACAAGUAAAUCGCAAGCAACAAUGAAUGCACCAACACUCUCCUAAACAAGUUAUUCAAUGCAAGUCACAUGCAAAUGAGACAACACUCCCCAAACUCGAUAUAUAAAACAUUGCAUCAAUAUAAAAACUCUUUUUCACAUACCCUUUGUCAUCAAUCAGCAACAACUAACAUAUAUCUUAUUCUUUCAAAGAUUCAAUAGACACAUUUCAGCUCAUACUCCAAUUAAUUCAAUCAUUAUAACACAAUGAAAAAUACCAUAAGCUCAUGAAAUGCUAAUCAAAAGAUAAAAUAGAAAGAAGAGACAAUGACACCAAUUUUUUUAACGUGAAAAACCUUUAAAGAAAUAAAAAAAAAAAACCACGGAUAUCAAGCAAUCAAAUAAUCUACUAUGAAGAAGAAUUAGAUGAGUACAAGGUUUUACCUAACUUAAGUCUUUCAUCAUCUCUUGGACCACUUGCCUAUAAUAUUCAAGCUUCAGCUACCAUCAUUCUUCUUUAGGAAAACACUUGGAAUCCACUCAGUUUUGAUCUCAACAUCUUCUUAAGUCCACAUAAGAAGAAUCUCGGGUUUUACCCCCAAUAAGUUGAAUAUGAGAGUUAGGAUGAAGAACACAGUGAAUCAACCAAUUUGGAAUAAAGAUUUUUCACUCAAAAACUAAUUUUCAAUUCAAUCUCAUAAAUUUUCUCACUAGGCAAACACUCCCCAAUAUAGUAAGAAAAACUUGAAGCUCAAAAACCUAGGGUUUUCUCUCUCAUAGCAGCCCACACCACAUCUAGAAAGAGGGCUUAGUAUUAGGGUUUUGAAACUCAUCCAAUGGUUGAGAUUUAUUUGAAAAAUCAUAAACUAUUAACAUUUAGUUCAAUUGAUCAAAAAUCGAUCCAAAUGUUUUAAACAUAAUGUUUUACACUUUUAAUUAAGUUUCAAUUUCAUUUUCUAAUAAAAUGAUACAAAUUUAAAAUAUGAUUAGUCAUUGUUUAUUAUCAUCCAUCAUCUCAAAUGUACUUACCAAUUCCUCCAGUCAUCUUCAAACACAAAACAAUUUGGAAAAGGUAUGUGGUCAAAAGAGGAUUUGAAGAAUAUGAACUACAAGACACAAUAAGAAUUUUGACCCGAAAUUGUCAAUACAUACAACAUGCUUACACAACUCGGUGUAGAAAAUUUUGAUGGAGUGUUUGCAAUGAUCUUAAAUAAUGUCUUCAAAUAUACACAAAAGGUAUAUGAAAGAAGUUUUCUUCAAACAAAUCUCUACACAUCAUCGACCUUAUCAUCCAAAACACCCAAUACAAAGUUCAAGGUACCCAUUUCUUCACCCUUUUUAGUUAUUCUCAUUAGGUCUUGUUCCCCUUCCUAUCUCCAAUUGACAUUGUAAUUGCAUUUUGUUUUCUUAUGAAUUUUUUUCUUCUUCUAUCUAAAUUGUCUAUCAUACACUAAGGGGGCUACAAAUUGCAAGCAAAAGGCUCCAAAUUUGCUUUUUCUCUAUUGUCAAAUCUAGCAAAUUGAUUUGAUUUUAAAAGGUCCCUGCCCAACAUAUUUUCAAAUCUAGCAAUAUCAAACUGAGAAGGAAAAGCAUGAAAACACAAAGAACACCCUUUUAAAAACAUAGAGAACAACCCAUUUUUUUCCCUAGUGAAAACAUGAAAAAUACAAAGAACUGGAACAACAUUCCUUGUCAAACAUAUUUUUAGUGUUCUUUUUUCUAGAAAACAAAAACCAAUUCACAAAAACGCUUCUCAAGUGGGCCAUGAUCUCUUUUUAAUUAAAAAAGAAAAGAAACUUACAAGAAUUUGCAAAAUAAUAAUAAUAAUAAUAAAGAAAUAAUCCUAAACGCCCCAUUUCGCUUCCUUAUGUUUCUCAAGAUCAAUCCUUGCUAUUUCACUUCUUUCAUCUUGUGAGUUGGUUCAAUUUGUAAAAAUGGACCAAUAAGAUUUUUUGUCGAAGAGUAACAAAUCUAAGAACUACAAAAUGAAAAACGGAAAGCAGAGCAUCAAAACACACCAUAGGAGAGCAAAUCAAAGCAUUGAUUUCUUGUUUGAGGUCUUAAAAUGUUUUGAAAUUUUUAUAAAUUUCCAUGUUUUUGAAUUGAUAAUGUGUAUAAUACUUAAUAAUAAUAUUUUGCAUUAUAGUGAACCAUGAAUAUGAAGAAAAAUUUCCUUUGAUUGUUUGUGUUAGUGUUUUACCAAGGUUAAAUUUCCAUUUGAGUUAUUGAAUGGAUGUUUGAUAAAACAAUUUAAUAACUUAAAGUGAUUUAAUAACUUAAUUUAAAUUAUUAAAUAAAUUAAGUGUAUUUGGUAAAAUUAUUUAAUGGUAUGACUUAAAAUAAAAAAUAAUUUUAAGUAAUAAGUAAAAAAAAUAAACUUAUUUUUAAGUUCAUCUUCAUUUUACAUUUUUACUCUUUCACCUUUUUUUUGUGUUAGGUAACUUCACAACCUCUUUUACUACUCUAUGACUUCUAUUAUUAUUCGAUAUUUUUUACUCUAAUUAUAAUUUAUGAGAAUAAAUAUAUCAAUUUAAUAAUUUAAAAUAAAUUUUAAAUUAAUUUUAUUGAACACUCUUAAUAUUAAAGUAAGAAUUAAGUAAUAAGUUUUAAGAAUUAAUUUAAAUAUAAUUAAACUUAAAAUCAACUUAAGUUAUUAAGUGAUAAGUAUUAAGUUUUAUCAUAUACCCACUAAAAGUUUUUAGAUUUAGGAAUUUAAACGUUGUUAAGUUACCAUUUUUAUUUUUAUUUUUUUUAUAUUGUACUUGUGAUAUGUGUAUAUAGUUAUGACAAUAAAGGCAAGGUGGUCAACUCAAAUCAUGAUAUGAUUAAUCAUGUAUAAUGGGAGUUUUAAAAUAAAAAUAUUGAAACUAAUACCAUAUCUUAUACUGAUUUUAGAAAGUGAUUUUAGUUUUUCUAACACAAAAACUUUUAUCUUUCAAGUACUAUAAAUACUAUAAACAUUUCUUAAAAUUAUUAUCAAAUACACUCUAAAAUAGUAUUUGAUAAACUUAAUAUUUAUUAUUUAAUAACUUAAGUUGACUUUAAGUCAAAUUAUACUUAAAUUGUUAACUUAAAACUUGUUAUUUAAUUAUCAAUUUAAGUAUUAAGGUUAUUUGAUAAACUAACUUAAAACUUAUUUUAAAUUAUCAAAUUGAUUUAUCCUCAUAAAUUAUAACUAUGGUAAAAAAGGUCGACAGUAAAAAUCGUCAAGUAGCAAAGGAGAUUAUGAAAGUUUUUAUGGCAAAUGGGGGUAGAAAGAUAAAAUGAAGAUAUGAAUAUCAUCAUCUAUACACAUGCAUUUGUGAUACUAUAUAAUUUUCUGCAUGAUCACUAAUUUUAUUUCUUAUAAUUUCAAGUAUGACAAUUAAGAAUAGAGGAUUUGUUGUAUUUUUCAUCAAAUUUGCAUGUUAUAAUAUAAGAUUAUUUAAUUCAAAAGAUGAAAUAAUCUUAAAUUUGUAAAAAUAAUCUCUCUCCUAUUUAAACUCGAAAAAUAAACUUUUUUAUGUAUAAAUUUCCUUCAACAUUUGAAUUAUAUUAAAUAAGUUUUGAAAGAGUGGGUUAUUUUCAUAAAAAUAUAUGAGGGGUAUUUUUGUUAAAAAAAAAAAGAAGAUAUUUUUCUUAGAGUAAAAUAUGUGGAAGGGUUAGAUUUGUAAAUUUUAAAAAAUUUCAUCAAAUUUCCAUAGGCCAUAGCAUAACAAGCUCAUUUAAUAUCUCAACUUUUAUUAUUGUUUUCAUAUAGUAGAACUAAACAUAGUUGGACUAUUUUUUUUUUUUUUUUGUAUACUAUUACACAAUUCAUAUGGAUUUGUAGUAAUUUUGUUACUACUUUUAAUUACCUUGUAGUAUGUGAUGCCACCUCCAUCAUUGUCUUUUAUCUUGCUAAAAUACUUUGGAGGAGUUGACAAAAUUUUAUAUUUCUGACACUUGGAAGACAUUGAGAAUAUUAAGAAUAAAUUGAUCAAGCUAUAAUUUGAGGUUUUUAAGACCUCACCUCAUAUUUUGAUUCCUUCUUGGUCAUGCAUAAACUUCAUUUUUCAACCCAAAUUGUCCAUUAGAGAGUUUUGAUCCCAUUCCAUGACAUGACAAAAAAUAAUAAUGAAUAAGGAUACAUUCCUUAAUAUUAAGAAUAAGGUGUGUGAAAAAUUGUUGUCUAGUAUAGUAACACCUAGAGAAGAGUGAACAGUGUAUUUUUAAAUAUUAUAAAUUAGAAGUUGAAUUAUUGACCCAAUUUAAACUUGUGAGAUAUAAGAGAUAAUUAAUAUAAUCAAAAUAACUAGAGAUCGAGUAAGAGACAUAGGAAUUUUAACAUGGAAAACCCCACACUAACCGUGAAAAUAAAAAACCACGGAAUCUAAGAUCUAAAAUCUAAAUCCAUUAUAUAAGAUCAAGUCACACAUAAUUAUCUAAUUAUUUUACUUUAAAGACUUACUCUUUAAAACCUAUAGCUUGAUUAACAUCCGCGACGCAACAAUCUUUAAUUACUCCAAUGAAUACUUCUCAACCUAGUUGAAGGGAUGCAUGUUUUUCAACAAUUCAAAAUUCAAACUUUAAAUCAUUUCACGAGAGUCUGAGAAUGGUAGGACAAAUUAGGCUAAACCUUUCUAUAAGUGUCCCCACCCUAAAAGGGUUAAAGAAGGGUUUGGCCUUUAGGCCUUAGGAGAUCGAUAUCCCAAAAUUUUCAAAUAAAGAUUUAUUGAAUUCCCAAAAGAUAUUCUAGCAAAUUUGGGAUGAUCGCUUAGGUGUACUUGUCCACCGCUUGAGUGCCUCAAGUGCUUGAGCACUAGAUAUGCACUUGAGCAUUUCCAAUGCUAAAGCACUACUUCCACCACUUGAGCAUUCUUUGUUUUUCCAAAAUAAUAAAUUAAGUAUUUUAAUUCAUAUAAAAGAUGUUGAUCCACUUUUAACCCCUUAAACACCUAACUUGUCAUUAAUAAAACCUUUUUAGGUAUAUUUGUAAUUAUCUAGUUGAACGAACAACAACUUUGAAUCUUUAAUGAAAAGUAAGUUACUAUCUAAAAAAUUUCAAAAGAAUUAGAACAAAAUUGUCAACAUGUAAUGAAGACCCAUUGUUUUAACAAUGUGUAAUGAUGUGUUGAAAAAAGUUUUCAUUUCUUUGGGUGAACAAGAAAAAAAAUUACAAGAAAAAUGAAUGAGCCUAGAGAUGAAAACAUGUUAACCCUAUUAUACUUUCUAGAACAUAUUUUACUUGGGAAAGAAGAAAAUUUUUUAAUAGAUAUUCAAUGAGCUGAUUUUGUUGAGAAUUUUUUAAGACCUUAACAAAUAUCCAUGGGGGAGCUUUGUUACAAGAUGACAAUUUUUAGAUUGCAAAAGACUAGAAAAUUCAAGUAUCAAAAUACCAAAAUAAUAAAGUACUAAAGGGAAAAGUCACAUCCAAAAAAAGACCACAUGAUUAAAAAUUUAAUCAGUUAUGGAAUUACUGUAAAUUAAAAAAAAAUUAUGAAGAUGUAAUCGUAUUUAAAAAAUUAUAAAUUUAAUCAUUAAUUUUAAAAAUAAUUUUAAUUUUAUUUAAAUUAUGUAUUUUUUUAGUAAUAAUUUUUUAAAAAAUGUAUUUUUGAAAUGGAAGUUUUCAAGGAAAAAUAAUACCAAAGGCCGCGUUAUGAAUGGAAGCACAUGACUAAAAUAAUUAAAUAAAUAAGCGACUAAAAAAAUCGUAGGUUUUCUAUAGGCUAUAUUCAUUCUUCUUCUCCUUGAUCCACCGAUCGAUUUUCAACCCAAAACCCUAAUUCAAGAUGGAGAGGAGGCACACGCACAGAUGUGCAACCGGCUUUAUUUUUAUAGCUCUCUUUUUCAGCUUUAUCCACCGUAUCUCAGCUCUCUCCGUCACCGUCAACGAAGUAGAAUGUGUUUAUGAGUACGUUAUCUACGAAGGUGACACCGUUUCUGGGAACUUUGUUGUCGUCGAUCACGACAUUUUCUGGGGCUCUGAUCACCCUGGCAUCGAUUUCACUGUAUGUCCCUGCCUAAUUCUCAUUUAAUUCAUCUAGUUCUUGGAUUUUUGUUUUUCUUUUCGGGGUUUUAAUCGUAGUGGUUAAUUGAUUUGGGGUUGCUAUGGGAUUUGAAGAGGUUUUUGGUUUUUUUUUUUUCCUGGAGUAUUUAGGGUUUUUGUUUGGUUGGAGAGAAAACUGAGGAAGAGAAAAAGGAAACGAAUUUUGGAUCUGAGAUUUUAUGCAGUUUGGCUUCUCAAAAAAAGGGAAAAAAUUCAAGUGCCCACAAACAUCAAAUAGAGAUGUGUUAGAUUUUGCUUGAUAAGACCUAGAUUUUUGGUUUCUCUUUCGGGUGUCCUCAAAGUUUCUCCACAAUCAAACAGUCGUUUUUCCCCUUUCCUUUAAUUUUAUUUUAAAAUAGAUUUUUUUUUUUGUUUCCUAUAAAAAUAAAUAUGUAUAGAGGUGUUAGGGUGCACCAACAACAGAAAAUAGAUGUGUUAGAGGUGCCUUAUGAUACGGAUGAUUGAGGGCUAGUUUGAGUUCUGGUCUUUCGGGUCUGAAACAGUGGAAAAUUGUAGACCCUGAUUUUUCUUUGUUUAAAUCUCCUCAGUUUUUCUCAGGUCUGAAUUUUUGAUAUGUUGUCACAUCAUUUCAUAUCAAUUAGAAAUUUAGAAUAAGAUUCCGAAGCCUUUUGGUGUAUCUGUUCUGGGUAAAAGAGACAUAAAUAGGUCAAUUAUAGAUUAACCUGGAAGAUUCUCUUGCAAUUCAGAAAAUUAAUAUCAAUAUACCAACUAGGCGUUAUGGUUCAAUGGUAAAAUGAUCAUAUAUCAAAUUCUGGACCAAGCCUUUUAUAUCAUGACCAGAAAAAGGUUCAAUACCGAGAUGAAAUAGUAUCAUAACUUUGUAUUAGAUCUGUUGAUCUCAAGCUUCAAUUGCGUCUUAUUCGAGAAUUAGUAUCCAAUUGUCCAACCUCAUCCUUGGGGUGAAAAGAUUGGUACCUGGGGAACUCCUUAAUUGAAGAAAAAUAAUAUCCAACUUGACAUUAGUAGGGCUGUUGAGAAAUUUCAAACCAGCAGGUUGAUUAGAGGUAGAGGUACCAGAAGCUUGUUGAGAAGACUGCAGUUAGUCCUUAAGGAAAACAAUAAACAAGUGAUCAUUCCUAGAUAAAAUUCAGAAACAAUCAAAUUCAACCCCAAAUAUUGUAGUGUUAGUUUAGCUCAAUCCUUUGUUUUCUGAAACAAGAAGCUGAUGCUUCCUUGUAGACUUAUCCAGUUGAAUUGUAAGCUGGACUGGUCCUGAUUGUAAGGUUGUUUGAAAAAUCUCUUCCUGUCUCAGAAAAGUGAACACAGGAAUUAUAUCCUCGGUCAUCCUUGCAAUAUUUAAUGUCUUUGAUUCAAGCUGGAUUAAUCAUCUUCUCGUUUGGUUGGAUUAAUCAUCUGCUCAUGUGGCCUAAAUGGAUGGCUUUGAUGAUGAUGAUGGCAGCUGCAAUUGUGAACAUUAAGGAGUAAAUAGUUUUGAUGUAGGACAACCUAGGAUGAUAGGAACAUUUUUUUUUGAUAAGUAGGAUAUAAGAAGAGGAACAUUGAACUAAAGUUAUUGUUGCAGGGGAAAAAAAUAAGAUAUAGAACAAGAAAAAAAUAAAGAAAAGAUAGGAAACUUUAGAGUCUUCCCAAUUCCUUCUAAGAGUUAGAAAUAAAGUCUUACUCUUGAAAAUUGGAAGGCACGAAAAAACUUAAUACUAUCCAUCGUCAAUAAUUAGUCUCAUUUUACAUCAGUUACCAUGAAAAAAGAAACCCAAUCUAUGUAGUCAUUUAGUAGGACUCUUAUUCCUUUCUUAAAACUAUUAAAUCUUCUAAAAAGAUUAAAAGAGCAUAGAAGCUUUUAUAUAUAUAUAUAUAUAUAUAUAUAUAUAUAUAUAUAUAUAUAUAUAUAUAUAUAUAUAAUUAGAAACCUAAUUUUAUAAAGACUUCUUUUAAUAAAAGUUUAUAAUAAAGAAGAGUUGCAGAUACUAAAAGGACUUACAUAGAAACUUUAGAGAAGAAAGAUUUUAGAAAAUAGACAAUUUAGAAAUUUAAAAACUUCUUUUGAGGAGAAAUUUUCAAUUAAAAAAAAAAACUUUCCAAAUUCUAAAUGCAACUCAAAUGCUGAUUACUAUCUAAUUAGUACAUUAGAGAACCUUUAAAAAACUACAAAAUUACCUACAUACCAUUGAUAGAGCUUGAAAAACUUGACCUCGAGUUUAAAUGACUUUUCAUGGUUAAUUGUAAUCCAAAGCAGUGUUUUCCACCUUUUUUUUCCUUUGUUACCCCCUAUAAACUUGUUUUUUGAUUGGCUAAGUGCUAGUUGAGGGCUGGUAUUGUAUUUCCUCUUCUUUUUGUGCCCUUUGGCGCCUCCUGUAUACUCCCUGUAUACUUUUGGGUCAGCCUCAAGGUGCCCUUUUCUAAUAUAUGUUUUUUGUGUGUUUGCCUAUCAAAAAAAAAAACUUGUUUUCCACAUUUCAUCGAAUUUUUUUUAUAUAAUAUGAAGUCGAGAUUAAAUUUCUUUCCACACUUGUAAAUUAUUCAAAACAAUCUUCGGCUUUUAUAGGUCAAGCAUUAGCUUUACUUGAGCUUGUACAACUUCAAAACAAUUAUUACUUAGAGUAUGAUCUCUCUCUCUCUCUCUAUAUAUAUAUAUAUAUAUGUUUGAUAGGUAAAUUUUUGUUUCUAUUGGGACUCGAACCUGAAAUCUCCCACAAACUCUCCCCAACCCUUUAUCACUAGAGCCAAGCAUCAAGGGCUCUUGGAGUAUGAACUAUGAUUGCAUACUCAACAUUGACAGUUAAAAUCCGUGUCAUCACUCACAUAAAUAUGUUUGGUGCAUUAGUUAAUUGAGAGAUUAUGACCAGCCGCUCAUAUAGCCUAUCCUUAGGAUAUAUAGUAAGCAAAAAACCUCCAGGAAGGCUCAACCUUAAUCUUUCUUGAAUAAAGCCUUCAAUAGAUGAUUCAUCAACUUGUCUUUAAGGACUUGCUUGCUUCAUAGGACUUGCAUAGUAGAUGGAUAAAUUAGGUGAUUAAUUCUUUAGCACCUUAGGAAUUUGCUUGCUAGAAUCAACCAGCAUUCGUCGCACUUCUUUGAGCUCUCUUACAAGUUAUUUUGGGAUAGAUUCCACCACAUUUGGCAUUCUAGAUCCAUCAUACCUUACUCCUUGUUUGCAGCUUCAAAUUAUUUCUUAAUGGAGUAUUUGGUGGUUUUUUUGGUUCUUAGAAUGUUGAUUGCUCCAUUAGUUGCUAAGGUGGUGAAAUUUCCUUAAAUGAAUAGAGAAUCUUCUUAUGCUCAUUUUGACAUGUGUUCUCAUGACCAUCAUGUUGCACUCUCUCAUCAAAAGUCAUAGUCUUUCAAACAAAAUAUGAACAAAUUUCAUCGACAAAACAUCACAACAUAUCAAUAGCUCAAAAUUAUUGAUAAAAGUAGAUGACAACUAUUACAAUGAGAACUCAUUGUAAUAGAGUUGUCAUCUACUUGUGUUAUUUAAUAAGGAUUUGGAUGCUUCUUUGUCUUUAAGUUAAGCUUGUCAACAAGUUCUUAUGAAGCUAAGUUGGAAUUAAUAUUUACAAUAAUCAUUGCCCAAUUUUGUUGGACUGUGGAGGAGCGAGGAAGGGGCCUUCCCCCUUCAGGUUUGAGAAUAUGUGGCUGAAGGAAGAAGGUUUUAAAGAUUUGUUAAGGAAUUGGUGGAUGAGCUUCCAAUUCAGAGGUUCUUUCAGUUUCACUCUGUCUGAAAAACUGAAAGCGCUUAAGGCCUGCUUGAAGAUUUGGAACAGAGAAGUGUUUGGUAAUGUCACUACUAGAAAAGAUUCAACUUUAAAGCAGAUGAUGUCUUGGGAUUCAAUAGAAGGGGAUAGGGUGUUGUCUGCUGAAGAGCAAACUCUCAGAAAGCAGGCUUUGGAGGAGUAUAAGAAAUGGGUGAUAAUGGAAGAGACAUCCUGGAGGCAAAAGUCUAUAGAGUUAUGGCUGAGGGAGGGUGACAAAAAUACUGGUUAUUUUCAUAAAAUGGCCAAUGCACAUAAAAGGGUCAAUUCCCUAGUGAAGAUUAAGAUAAAUGGGUCGUGGGUAACAGAAGAACGUGACAUCAAGGAUGGUGUGGUUCAGGCUUUCCACUCUCUAUUGUCGGUAAUAGAUGAGUGGAGGCCCAGAUGCAAUGGGCUGCAGGUUGGGGUUUUGGAAGGGGAAGUUGCAGCAUUGUUAGAGGCUCCUUUUUCUGAGGAAGAGGUGUUCGGUGCUCUCUCGGUGGUUUCACAAUGGCGUUUUGGCAAUUCAGUUGGAGCUUUCUGAAGGAGGAAGUUAUGGGGUUCUUUAAGGACUUUCAUGAUCAGGGCAAGUUCGUCAAGAGCAUUAAUGCUUCUUUUAUGGUUUUAAUUCCUAAGAAAGGAGGAGCUGAAGACCUCAAGGACUUUAGGCCUAUAAGCUUGGUGGGAAGUCUUUAUAAGUUGUUAGCAAAGGUGUUAGCUAAUAGGCUUAAAAAGGUGAUGGGUAAGUUAGUGUCCAAGUCCCAAAAUGCAUUUGUGGAGGGAAGGCAAAUCCUGGAUGCUUCGUUGAUUGCGAAUGAGGCGAUUCAUUCAAUGCAGAAAAGUGGGGGAGGUGGCAUCCUUUGUAAGUUGGAUAUUGAGAAGGUAUACGACCAUGUGAAUUGGAGUUUUCUUCUUUGGUUGAUGGAAAUGAUGGGUUUUGGAGCCAAGUGGAUCAGCUGGAUUCAGUGGUGUAUUGGGACUAUUAGUUUCUCUGUCCUUAUUAAUGGAACUUCCUCAGGAUUCUUCCAAAGUUCUCAGGGAUUGAGACAGGGGGAUUCCCUAUCCCCCUACCUGUUCGUGAUUGUCAUGGAGGCCCUUAGUUGUUUGUUGAAGAGAGUGAAGGAGGGGGGUUUUUUGCUGGGGUGGCAGCUCAGUGGUAGAAGAGGUGUGGGAGUGGAGAUCACUCAUUUGCUGUUCGCGGAUGACACUUUAGUAUUUUGUGAGCCUUCCAUUGAUUAGGUGUCCUACAUGAGUUGGCUUCUUAUUUGGUUCGAAGCCAUGUCAGGGUUGAAGGUGAACUUGGACAAAAGUGAGAUCAUCGCGGUGGGAAAAGUGGAGAAUGUAGAGGACCUGCCCCUUGAGUUUGGUUGCAAGGUUAGCCAGCUCCCUUCUUCUUAUUUGGGUCUUCCUUUGGGUGCUUGUUUCAAGGAGGUGGCUACUUGGGAUGGAGUUGAGGAAAGGCUGAGGAAGAGGCUUUCACUUUGGAAAAGGCAGUAUAUCUCCAAGGGGGGUAGAAUGACCUUGAUCCGAAGCACUCUGUCCAGCAUGCCUAUCUACUGGAUGUCCUUGUUUCAUAUGCCAAGGAGCAUGAGUUUGAGAUUGGAGCGGAUUCAAAGGGACUUUCUUUGGGGUGGUGGGGCCCUGGAAAGGAAGCCCCAUUUAGUGGAAUGGUCUAUUGUUUGCUCAGAUAAACGAAAGGGUGGAUUGGAUGUGAGGAACUUGGCAUUGCUAAAUAAGGCACUCCUAUGUAAGUGGAGUUGGCGUUUUGCGGUGGAAAGGGAAGCUUUAUGGAGGCAAGUUAUAUGUGCAAAGUAUGGGGAAGAAGAGGGUGGUUGGAGGUCCCGUGUUGUGAGAGGUAGUUUUGGGGUUGAUUUGUGGAAAGCGAUUAGGAGAGGUUGGGAUGUGUUAGGUGACAAUUUGGUUUAUUCUGUGGGACAUGGUAGGAGGGUUAGAUUUUGGAAGGACAAGUGGUGUGGAGAUAAUCCUUUGUGUACUUUUUUUCCCUCCUUAUUUGCUAUAUCCUUGGAUAAGGAGGCUUGGGUGUGGAUGUGUGAAGCCAUUCUGGAGAGGGAGUGUGGGCUCCUAGGUUCUCUAGGCGGAUUAAUGAUUGGGAAGUGUUCGAUGUGGAGCGUCUUCUCUUAAGGUUGCAAGGGAGGAGGGUUUAUAGUAAUGUGGAAGAUCAAGUAAUUUGGACUAAGGCAAAGGACGGAAGAUUUUUUGUUAAGUCUCUUUACAAGGCAUUGGAGCUAGAAAGACUAGGAGAUUUUCCUGCCAGAGUUAUUUGGAAUUCUUUGGUGCCUCCGAGGGUGAGUUUUUUUGCUUGGGAGGCUACGUGGAAAAAGGCCUUAACCUUGGAUCGUAUUUAGAAAAGAGGGUUCUCCUUGGCUAAUAGAUGUUAUUUGUGUCUAGCAGAGGAAGAGUUUAUUGAUCACAUCCUCCUGCUUUGUGGGUUAGCCAGAAGUUUAUAGAGCUUACUUUUUUCCCUCUUUGGGGUUUCGUGGGUGCUCCCCUCUUCAGUUAGAGAGGCGUUAUUGGGGUGGUUUGGGCCUUGUGUGGGAAAGGAAAGGAAGAAAGUGUGGUUUUCAACUCCCUUGUGCCUUUUUUGGAUUGUUUGGAAGGAAAGAAACAGUAGGGCAUUUGAAAAUGAAGAGCAUUCGAUUCAUGGGUGUAAAUCGCUUAUCCUUUGUAAUCUGUGGGCGUGGACCAGGGGGUUUUUUGGUUCUGGUCCUCCUUCCGUUGUAGAUUUUGUUGAUUGGUUAGGCCCUGGUUAAGGGUUUUUUUCUCUCUCUUUUGUAUACCUCCUAUAUACUCUGGGGUGCUUCCUUGAAGUGCCUCUUUUCUUUUAAUAUAUUUCUCUUUAUUCAUCAAAAAAAAAAAAAAAAAAUCAUAUUACAUAGUCUUCCUUGGCAAGUAACAUGAAUUAGGAAGAUGUUAGUUGGUCCUAUAUCCUCCUCUUUGUUUACCUUUGCCAUAGUUGCCAAUGGUCACAUUUUAAAAAUAAUAAUCUUCAAUCAUGGUUGUGUAACUUUUUCCACUACUCAAGUGGACACAUUCUUUCAUAUCAAAACUGAUGUAAGACAACCCUAGGAUAGAUAUAGGACAGCGCUAAGAUGAUUUUUUAGAAUCAAAUAAGGUGAGUUAGGGCUUCAAGUUUUUAGGAUUUAAGAUGUACAAUGAGCCAAAAUUAUGUAGUGGGGAAAAGAAAUAUCAUUUAUCUUAUUAAUUUUGUUUUACAUCAGUUACCUUAUUUAUGGACUUUAGAAAACUCAAAAACGAAUAAAACUUCUAACUUAUUAGGACUCUUCUUUUUCCCUAGAACUAUUAAAUCUUAUAAAAAGAUUAAAAGCAAAUAGAUACCUUUUUUUUUUAUAACUAGAAACUUAACUUAGUGAAACUUCUUGUAAUAGGACUUUCUAAUAAAGAAAACUUUAGAUCUGAGAAGUUAUAGAAACUUGGAGAAAAACUUUUUACAAAAUAGAAAGUUUAGUAAUGUAGAAAUAUUUUUUGAGGAGAAAUUUCCAAUUAAAAAAUUUUAAACUUCUAAAUGCAAUUCAAAUACCAACUAUUAACUAAUUAUGAUACUAGUGAACAUUAAAAAAUUACAAAAUUACCUAAAUACCCUUGAUAGGAUAACUUAGGAUUUCUUUAUUUCCUUUCAUUCAUUUCUUGAAUAGAUUUUGGAGAUUCAUCGUGAUGGAGGCUCUUUAAGAGAUUAAAGAAGGGGGUGGGGUGUGCAAGAAUGUUGUUUAAAUUUCUUUUCUUUUCUUUUUUUCCCCUUUUCUAUUGAGACCUAAAAGUUUUUAUUUGAACAAUAAUAAUGCAAGUAAUAUUUAGUAUGUGCAGCUUUUGUCUUUUGUGUCUUUGAUAUGUAAACAAUAUCAAUUGACCUGAUAUGAUAAUCACAUUGGGACAUUGGUUUUAUGAUUACCAUUAGAUUAGACUCCUUUGUAUGUCUCCUUUCCAUCUCUAUUUGCUUGAGCCUCAUCAAAGGAGGCUUGGGUGGCAGAUUUGUGGGGCAAACAGGGGAGAGGGGUUAUUGAAACCCUUGCUUUACUAGAAAUCUUAAUGGUUGGCAGCUUGAAAACAUAAAACAUUUUUUUUGCUAAACUGCAAGUCAUGUUAAUGGAGAGGAGGACAGGGCAAUGUGGAUAGUUUUGAGGAAAGAAACAUUCUCAGUGAAGUCUCUUUAUGCUAUCUUAGAGAUGGGGAGCUCAACUUCCUUUUCUAACAGGGGUCAUCUGAAAUCCUGGGUCUUGAUCUAAGGUAAGUUUCUUUGCAUGGGAAGCUUGUUGGGGAAAGGUUUUGACUCUUGAACAACUACAAAAAGGAGGAUGGACACCGGUUAUAGAUGCUUCCUUUGUGAAAUGGAUGAGAAAUCAAUUGAUCACAUCCUUCUCCAUUGCCAUAAGGAUAGGGUUCUUUGAAAGCUGUUGUUUCCUUUGUUUGGGAUUUCCUAGGAUUAGGCAGCCAUAGUGAGGGAGACUUUGCUAGGGUGGUAUGGAUUUUUUAUUUUUUUUGAUAGAUAAACAUCAGAAUAUAUAAGAAAAGGCUAAAAAGCCGCAUGUAUAUAGGAGGUAUACACAAAAGCCCAAGAAAGAGAGCUGAAAAAAGAGAGGGGAAGAACCUCACCCACCCUCAAGUGGCCGCAAGCCACUCCAAAAAGCCUAAGAGAGAAUAGGUAUCCUCACCAAUGUACACCCUAGCCCAACUCCACAAAUUACAUACAAAAAAAUUCUUGAAUUUUUGAAUAUCUAAAGACCCCCCCCUUAAAAGCUAACCUAUUCCUUUCCUUCCAAACCGUCCAAAAUAUGCACAACGGAAUGGAAUUCCAGGUAUUUUUUCCUUUUUUCCCCACAAAAGAGCCCCUCCAGCUAAGUAACACUUCUAUAACUGAUUCUGGGAACACCCAUUGGACUCCAAAAAUGACAAGGGCAAUCUCCCAAAGAGUCUUAACCACUGUACAAUGUAACAGAAUAUGAUUCGCAUUUUCCUCUUCACAGCCACACAAAAAACACCGAUUAGGGAGCUGCCACCCCCUUCUUUGAAGCUUAUCCAAGGUGAGGAUCUUCCCCCACGAAGCUUCCCAAGCAAAAAAAGACACUUUUGUUGGAACCUUAUCCAUCCAAAUGCGUCUGUUCGGGAAAGCACAGGCUGAGGACCCAAACAGCAUUUUGUAAGCACCCUUAGCCCCAAAACACCAUUGCCUUCCCUUUUCCAUCUCACAGCAUCCUCCUCAGUCGAAGUCCUGAAGUAGGGUGGUAUGGAUAUUUGUUGGUAAAAAGUGGGAGAAGGUAUGGAUAGUUGCUUUCUUGUGCAUAUUUGGGAAUUUGUGGAAAGAGAGAAAUCGAAUGUUGUUCGAGAAUGAGGAGAUAUCUAUCUGGAGUUUGAAAGGCAUGUUUUUUAGUCAGCUUCUCUUCUGGGUAAAGUUGUACAUCAAUGAUGGUUCGAUGGCUCUAAUGGAUUUUGUUGAGUGAUUGGGUACUUAUUAAGGGAGGGAAGCAUUUUUUGUAAUCCCACCUUAGUUGCUCCUUGGCUCUUUUGUAUUGUUUUCUUUGGUAUUCUUUGUGUACUUCUGAUAUACUCUGUUUUUGCAUUUUUAAUAAAUUUCAUGAUUGCCUAACAAAAAAAUAAAAAAUAAAAAAUGAUUGCCACUGGAUUAGUCAUUUAUUUCUUUUAAUCUUGGUUUCAUGCAGGUGACGUCUCCCGCAGGCAACACGGUGCACACUCUAAAGGGAACAUCUGGGGACAAGUUUGAAUUUAAGGCCCCACGAAGUGGAAUGUACAAAUUUUGUUUCCAAAAUUCUUAUGCAACACCUGAGACUGUCUCUUUCUAUAUACAUGUUGGCCAUAUUCCCAAUGAGCACAACCUCGCCAAAGAUGGUAUGUUCAAUUUUUUUUGUCAAUAUUUUCUUCUUGUCAUAUUCUUAUAUCUUAUCGCUAUUUCUAUAUAUUUUAUAAUUUUAAGUGCUAUUGCAAAUGACAUGACACCAUUGAUAGUGAAAAUAUACAUUGCUUGUUGGACCAUCUUGGUCCAACUGACAUGCUUGAGGCACAUAUAUAUCAUAGAUUUUCUCUUUGUUACAGAACAUUUGGACCCCAUAAAUGUUAAAAUUGCUGAGUUGAGAGAGGCACUGGAAUCUGUUACAGCAGAGCAGAAGUAUUUGAAAGCUCGAGAUACUCGUCAUCGUCACAGUAAGCCUUUUGCUUUUCUUUCAAGUGGUGAUAGUGAAUUAAUGUGAUCAAACCAUUUUUGGAUGUUGUUUCUAGCAAUUAUUUGAUCUCUUCCAUUAACACAGAAUCUCAAAUGGCAAUCCCCCGAAAUUUAAUUGAUUAUCUAUUUUUAUUUGUGUUACUUAGGGAACUGAGCAUCUAGGUGAAAGGACUAUAGAAUUUUCUUGGAUGAUUGAAUAAGUGCAUACUCAAAUUAAAAUAAAAAAUAAAAAAAUAGAAAGAAUCUAUAAAUGGAAGAUACAAAUGAGCAGGGAAAGAACAUGCUUGAAUAUGGAAAGAGUGAAGUUUGUCUUGCUCAAGGAAUCUUGAGUGAUUAAAAGCUCUUGAAUUUGAGAUUUUGUAGGCUUUAGAGGUGCUAGGCCAAUGGUGUCUCCAUCUGUCUCCUAGGGAGCAUUCUAAAACCUAGAGCCUUCCUAAAUUUGUACACCUUGCCUUGGACAAUCUAUAAUUGUACAGGUCUAGGUUAUAGAGCAUUCCUAUAAUUUCUCUCUUUGUUUGGUAUGGUUAAAAAAAUGUAGCUAUUCCUAUAGUUCAUUCAACAGUCAUCCAUUAACAUCUCUAACAGAUGAUGAGUGUGUGUUUGGCCUUAGACCCAUAUUUUUUCACCAGCAGGGUGCUGGUAAAAUGAACAUAUGUAGUGUUUGGAUCAGUCAUUGUUCUGAAUGUAUUUCUGUUGUUUCUUGCUUGAUUAAAAAUGUACAAUGAAUUUACUCAAUUACACCUUACAUCAAAAUUACAUGAUGUUUUUCAACUUUUGUGGUAUGCCUCCUCCUGCAUGCUGUUUUUCAAGCAAAAUUACAUCAGUGACAAGAGUUUUAUACUGAUUUUAUGAUGUUUAGGAACUGAGAAGUCUUGUAGUAAUUAGUCAUUCACAAUAUCUUUUUGUUGCUACAGCAAAUGAAAGCACAAGAAAGCGUGUCAUAUUUUACACGCUGGGUGAGUACCUUUUGUUGGCACUUGCAAGUGGACUUCAAGUCGUUUAUAUCCGCCGUUUGUUCAGUAAAUCAGUGGCAUACAACCGAGUUUGAGGUAGCAUGUUGAGAGGCUUGACUGAUGUAACUGUUGAGUGAAGAGAAUUAUGUAUUGUGUAACAAAACAUGGUUAUACUAUUUAUCCCUUGCUUCUAUUUAUAAUGUGAUAUUCAAAGAUAAUGUUGUAGGUUUACCUUAUUUACAAGUUCCACUGGCUGUGAAGAAUGAUUCUGAGUGGGAAAAGUUAUGGAUUUUAACAAAAAUAAAACUCAGAAGCAUGUGCACUGCACUGUCUACCUCUGGAUGACUUGAUUCUAAUCAGAACAGGUGGGGAUGCUACUUGUUUUGGUUAAAAGGAAAUGGAAGAGAAGUGGGAGCAAGUGCAUGUGAAUGUCCAAACGUAGAAAGUCUUGACUCUUUUUUGGUGCUGCAUAGUAUCGGGUGGUGGUUAUGAAUGUGGUUGGUGAGGUGAAAUCAUAUAAACCAAAGUAGACUGCUAGCUUUUCAGUAUUCACAUGUCUUCCCGUAAUAGCAGAGAAAAUGCCACUGUCAUCUCUCUCUCUCUGCUGAUUGAGUCUCUUUCCUAAUCAAAUGGCAAUGGUUUCCAUAUACAGAAACUCGUGUUGAUUUACCUUUUCUUCUUUGCUUCCAACUUUUUGAGUACACCAUCCUUAUUCAACUCUAAAAUGUCAGGAAAACAUGAAGCCCCUCUGAAAUUUUAAAUAAAUAAAUAAGGAAUUUUAUUUUAUUUUUCCUUUCGGCAUUUUCACCUUCGAAAGCGGAAACAGAUGAGCAGCUUAGAUCGGACUGAGUUCUCUGAUGAUUCCAGCUCACAGAAACAUCCAGUUUCCGUGUAAACCGUCCAACAAGGAAUCUGAAUAAAUUACGGAAUUCCAUGUCCUCACUCCUAACAUCCACACAAUUGCCAUAAAUCUAAUGGCGGAUCUCAGUAGAAUUCAGAAAAUUUACUCCGAUCUACUAAAUUAUUUGCCAAUUGGAAUCUUGCCACGUAGUCAACGUUGGGGUGUUUGGAUAAGUUGUGCUCCUCUCUUUCAACUUUGGCACUAAAAAAAAGGCACUUGAAUUUACAGCAAUAACCCCAGAUGGAAUUUGUCAAAACAUACCACCUAAUCGUCGUGCUUGUGUUUUGUCUACGUGGCUCUUCUCCAUUUGACCUUUUUAUUACUUUUAUGAUAUGGAUAAUGCCAUAAUGCGAUACAGUGAUAAUGGGUCUUUUCAUAAUGUUCCCAAAUGCUAUGCCAUCCAAAAAUUACUAUACCCUUAACAAUAAUAAUAAAUAAUAUUCUGAUUUUGUGGGAAAUAUAUAUAUAUAUAUAUAUAUAUAUAAGGGUAAUAUGGGAAAUAAAAAGAAUUCCAAAAUUGGAAGAAUAAUAACGACCUUAAAAUCCAUGAUCUAAGUUUGCAGAGUGGAAUUUUGCGUUUACAGAGUCGGUGAUAAAAUCAUCUCUCCCGAUCCAACACCACCCAUUUCCAAAAUGCUUGCAGUUUUCCACAAAUCUAUUGCUGAGGCCCCUGAGGGUCUCCGGACUCCGGACUCUGCCUCCCUUCCUGCUCUAAAAGAUGGAUUUCUUCCUCAAUUUUUUGCUUCUCUUCAUCCUUCUGCUGUCACCGUCAACCUUGGCUCUUCCGGCGCCAUCUCUUACUCCGUUGAUAAGCAGAAUCCUCUUCUUCCAAGGUACAAUGUUUAUACAUUUUUCUUUGUGAUUUUUUCUUGAUCUGGCCUUGCGCACAGUUUCUGGUUGGUUCCAUUUGUUCUUUACUGGAUUUGUUGUUUAUCCGAUCGUGAUUAUUUGUGGGCUUUUGGGUUUUUAUCUUCAAAUAUAGUUCUUUCUUUGCCUAUCUGAUCUUGAUCGUUUGUGGGUCCUUCGUGUUUUUUUUUGUGUUUUUUUUCCUUCUUCCUGAAAUGCAUGUUUGGUUGCACGCCAGGAAAAGAAUCGACUAACUGGGAAUAUUGUAUGGGUUUGGGGUUGAAAUAGCUGUUGUAAGAUCUCGAUCUUCGUUUUCAUUUUUCACCAACCACAUGAACCGCUGUUAUAUGCUGUGUGUGUUUAUCUCCAUUUCUUGUUGUUAUUCUUAUAGAUAGAUUUUAUGGUACGCAUGUUUCCAUUUUCUAUUAUUUCUUCGUUAUUAUUAUUAUUAUUAUUAUUAUUAUUAUUAUUAUUAUUAUUAUUAUUUUCUUUAAUCAUUAUAAUUUGUGGGUCCUCUCAUUUUUCUCUUAAGGUACGUUUGGCUGCAGAGAAAUUAUAGGAAAAGAAAGGGAAACUACGUGGAAUUUUAAAACAGGAGGAUUAUUUUGAGAUAAUCUAUGUUAAGCUUAAUGUUGUUAUAAUUCUUUCAUACAGAUUUUGAAAACAAUGAUCCAGAUAGAUUCCCAAGUCUUGAAGAGUCUUAUAGAUCCUGUUAAGUGUUUUUUUAUAAUUUCCCUUUCAUAUUAAUAUAUGUUUGGCUGCUGGGAAAUCCUGAUCUUAUUUACUGGUCUGCAGGUUGAAUUGACUGUUGUUAGAUUCUAUGUUUUCCUUUAUUCUCCUUAUAUUUCUCAGCAACCAAAAGGAGCCUUGAGGGAUUUCUUUCUACAAACCCCACAAAAAUGGAUCACAGAUUCCUUGUUUGAUCAGUCAUUUUUCUAUCAUAGCUAUUAAAAUCUCUUUUGUUCAAUUACUUAAGUUUUUCCAUUUGACUCAGUUUUGUGAAGCAUAUUUGAGGUUCAGUUACCAAGGCACAUAAUCCAGAUCUAGAGAUUUUCUCGUUUCUUUUCUUUUCUUUUCCCUUUUUUUGGUUUUUUGUGUGUUCUGUUGUGGAUGGUAUAUUAUAUUCAGUUGGUUUUAAUGAAUACAAAAUACAGAUUCAGUCAUUUUAUAUGAUUCUAUGUUUGGGGCAUUGUUUUAGAUGUGCCAUGAAAUGUUCCAUCUAUGCUUUGCAUAGCAUUUGAAAUCAUAUUGAUUUUGCUUUCUUACAGAAUUUGAUAUUUUUUCAUUUCUUUGAAUGUCUGAUCUUUUUUAUUUUAGGGAAAAAUCUAUUUUUAUAGAUAAUACCUAUUUUUAAUGUGAUGUGUAGUAUGGACAGAAGUCCAAUGUCCUACAUCGGCUGAUUACUAACGUUGGUUGGGCCUUAUAUGUGGGGCUACCUCUACCCACAAUUAGCUUAAGCUUUUAGUAGUAUAUGUGGUCCUGCAUCAUUUGGUAUCGGGGUGAGGUUUUGGCCUGGCUUCCCUCAGCAAACAAAAAAUUGGAUUAUUAGCGCGAUGCCCCAUUAACUACAUUUUUUUGCUUUAUGAUGCCACCAUUAUUACUGUGAUUUGUGUGUUUGAAUGCCAUGGAAAACAAAAAAUUGGAUUAUUUCAUUUCCAUUGAUAAACUGUUCUCAUUUUGUUCUAUUCAUGCCUAAUCCUUAACAAUUGCAUCUUCCUGUAAGGAAUGUUGAAUGAAUUUGUAAAGCAUCAGAAUCUUACAACAAGAAGGGAAAGAGAUUAAAUCUGAAUUUCUUUCUUUCUUGUUGCUUUCUUCCCAACUUACCACUUGACUUUAUCCCUCUUUUCACUUGGCAUAUCGGUUGCUGAUUGUGAUCUAUCUCCUCUUUUUUUGUCAGAUUGUUUGCAGUUGUGGAUGAUAUAUUCUGCUUGUUUCAAGGACAUAUUGAGAAUGUUGCUCUUCUUAAGCAACAGUAUGGGUUAAACAAAACAGCAAAUGAGGUGAUCAUUGUCAUAGAAGCUUAUAGGACUCUGAGAGAUAGAGGUCCAUAUCCUGCAGAUCAAGUUGUGAGAGAUCUCCAUGGGAAAUUUGCAUUUGUUCUCUAUGACAGCUCUAACAGAACUGCAUUUCUAGCUGCUGUGAGUAAACCUUUUGGCCAGUAAUUUUGCUAUCCAAUUUCAAGUAUCCCUCUUGUUGCUCUCAGAUUGUUAUGAUCACCUUCUUUGAAGGCAGCUUACAUCAGGUGUAACUUUACCCACAUGUAAUGCAGGAUGCUGAUGAGAGUGUUCCCUUCUUCUGGGGAGUAGAUUCUGAAGGCCAUCUUGUUCUUUCUGAUGAUGAAGAGACUGUGAAGAAGGGCUGUGGGAUAUCUUUUGCUCCAUUUCCUAAAGGUAUUGUUAUAUGUUUUGCAUAUUGAAUCCAUAGUUUGGGGAAACCAUUUCAUCAUUGUUUGAGUUUUUCCAUGGGAACCUACUCGCAUGUUUCAAAUGGUUUAGUUUCCGAGAUUUGUGGAGUUACCUGAGAAGUUAACAUGGAUGUUCUUUGAAAAUUGAAAUAAGUAAGAAGUGGGUUUGUGUUCAAGUGGGAAACAGAGCUGAACUUAUCCGACAAACAUAAGGGAAAUGUGUGUAAAGUGAAACUAUUAUGGUAAUGCCAUAAUGAUCCAUAUAUGGUUUAUAUUGUUGUAUUGCCUUGAGAUGCCUUCUGAUUGAUCUUAGCCUUGAGAUGAAAUGUCGUUAGCUCAGUUGAUAGUUGCUUCUGUAUAUGGACUGGAUGGGCUUAAACUACCAUGUUACCCUGAGAUCUUUGUUUUAUGUAUGGUCUGUCAUAUUCAGCGUAGAAGUUGUAAUGAAUUUGUUAAGAAGUCACUUUGUUUUGCCCAUACGGUAUGAUGCAUCCAUAUUCUAUGUUGCCUUGAGAUGCCUUCUUGCUUGGUUUUAGAUUUGUCAUGUUGCAUUGUGCUAUGAUGUUGCCUUUAAUUGAUGGGCCCUUGAUCUAUCCCAUGGUAGAGCAGUAGAAUGGCACAACCUUGAUCUAUAAUCUUGAAUGUAUGUAUGGUCUGAUGAAAUCUUUUCCAGUGAGGCUGAUCUUUUGUUAUGAACUUAUUUUAACUUUCCCAAAUAUAAGGAAAUCCAAUGGAGACAAAUAUAUGGCUUGAGAUCUGUGUUAAGUGGUAAUGUAUGGAUGCUUUCUUGGCUGCUUCCAAGCAAUUCCAUUGCCAUUUUCAUUGUUGCGCUCUUUUAAUAUCCUGUCUUUAUUCUGUUCUACAUUGAGAUGAAAUUUUAGGCUCCAUUCCUCAUUCUGUUAUUCAUUUCCACUUUUACCCAUGAAAAUUCCCAAUGAACAUGGGUAGUAAUAUUGCUGAAUUUUUCUGUCUUUUUCUUCUCAGGAUGCUUCUUUACAACCUCUGGAGGUUUGAGGAGUUUUGAGCACCCGCUAAAUGAGUUAAGGGCAGAGCCACGGGUGGAUAGUUCUGGCCAGGUGUGUGGUGCAAAUUUCAAGGUGGAUGUUGAAGCCAAGAAGGAGACUGGCAUGCCUAGAGUUGGGAGUGCUGCAAACUGGUCCACACACUACUGAGCUCUUAAGUUAUAACCAUCUUGAUUACAUCAAGACUUUCAUUAUUCACUUGGCCUUGCAAUGCUUUUUCUUAUUCAUCCUUUUUUUUAAGUUCCGCUACCAUCUUGAUGACUCUGUUGCUUCAAUUUGUACUGAACUUCUAGUUAGAACAUACUGUCAAAACCAAGGCAUCUUUAUGCAGGCUAUAAAUGUUGCUCCAUAUUGAACUGAUCCUUUCACGGAUAAUGCAUGUAACAUGGAAUAAAAUUGCUUUACACUAGCACUUUUUGUGAUGCAUGCAAGAGUUUACAUGUUUGAUGUGUGGACUCAACUCUUACUAGCAUAUUGGAAGUUUGGAACUUCCUCCUAACAAUUAUAUCAUGUUAUUUAUUGAACUCAAGAAUGAUAUUUUACUUCCACAAGCUUUAGCAGGGUUGCUUCCUUUAAAAAUAGAACAAUCAGUAUGCUGCUGAUAUUGAAUUUUAUAUGUUAUUGAAGUCAUUUGGUUUUUAUGACACCAUGUCCGCCAAUUGCAGUACAUCUUGUUCUACUCUUACUAAAGAAGUCACAACAUGUUCAGAGCAUAAUGAGAGUAGAUAAAAAUCCUUUUCAUGGUGCUAAGAUUCAAAAUCAAUAUGGAAGAAUUUCUAUUGCUGAGGAGACUCUUGUGUUGAUCAUUUACAACUUUUAUACUAAACUAUUAGUAGAUAACAGGAAAAUGAAAACCGACAAGCAUUUUCUGGUGUCGCAGAAGAAACUUAAGCUGAUUUCAGUCCUUUGCAUCUGCAAUACCUCCUGGUGUUAUCUGAAACACUUGCCUUUGUCAAGAACAACUUUUCAACAAUAUAAUAGUAAUUCUUCUCCAAUGCCGUCUGGCUUGUGAAUGCCAAGAUAUCAGAUGCAUGGGUGCGCAGUAGGUAUUUAGUCUAGGAUCAAGGAUCAUCAUGACACCAGGUGGUGAUGGCAAUUUGAGUUUCCAACCUCAACCAGUAUCUAGUAAUAAUCAAUGAUCAAAUGGUCGCCAUUAUGGAGUAAUUAUUUUUUAAUAGAUGAUAUAGGGAUAAGAUCAACAACUAAAAAACAUGGGAAGGAUAUUGCUUCAGCUUCAGGCAGAUUUGGGGCAUCAAACACCUUGCAGACCCGCUGCUCCCCUUUGCCUUUCCUAAACAUUAACCUUAUUGUGGCUGCAUGGGCAAGCACAUGUCCACCUGCUGGUUUUUUUGGAUCUGAUAUGAACACCCCUCCACCAGGAUCGGCUAUAACUGCAACCAUCAAUCCAAUUACAUAGAUCAGCAGUAAGUGUUGGAAACUUCAUAUAUAAAAUUAAGGGUCACCAUGGUAGGAUUACAAAGUGAAAUUUCUGGCUACCUAAUAUAUUCAUUGUGUCUCAAACUAGCCCAGUAUUACCUUGGUUGGUCAUAUAAACUGCGACAUUGAAUUCCUCGGCUAUCUUUGUUAAGCGGGAGAGCAUCUGUGCAAGUUUUUGCUGCAGACAGACACUGACUCAUUUCAUGGAAGAGUAUUUACAUAUUUAAAACCUCAGAAAAUUGAAAAUUUUGCCAAAACUAAGAUCAUUUUGCUAAAAAUAUCACUCUAAAUGAGAUCUGCAUGGCUUGCUAAAUUUUCAUAAUUGACAAAAUUAAAUAGUAAAAUAGAGGAUUCUCUGCUUCAAUAAUCUGCCACUUCGCUCCCCUUUCAAGGAGUGAUGUCACUACAUUUUUUUGCUUUGCACUAAGCUAUCAUGUCUAACCAAUAACCAUUGGCCACAACAGUAUAAUACGGACAUUAAUCAUAAAGCACCUUAAAUCGGAAAUAUCAGCAAAAAGAAUCUAGUUUGGUUGAAUUCUCUCAGAAAUUCAAACCGCUUGUAUGCAUCCUAGGGUUGUAAAGGUUUAACCUGGCGGUCUGCUAAUUCCCCUCUUCCCGUGAAAUCCACCCGAAAGAGAGCAAUUACUGAAUCCACAAUCUGAAAAUAUCAAUUCAUACAUUCAUCAGUCUGUCAAGUCUGAUGAUAUUUGUAUUACAGAGUAAUUCUGUUACUUGUGACUUACCAGGAGUCUAAAAGGUUCUUCAGACAUUUUUGCUGCUAGACCAAGAAGCAGGUUGUACUGAUGCUCAUAUGUGUAUGCUCGAGCAUAAAUGAUCUUUCACAUGCACAGAACAGGAGAUGUUUCAGUUCUGAGAAUAGUUCCCCUAGUUCAAUUUAUAUGAAAUUAGAAAUGAUGCUUACAUUGUCAAGAACAGCUCCAGCAUCCAUGCCAAACCGCUCAGCAAUUGGUACAAUCCUAUCAGGUCGACUGCAAGUGCAUUUAGUUGAGAAAAUAAACAAAAACCAGAUGGGCAUUGUCAAAUCAUUUCACAGUUACCGUUUCAUGCAACAGAAACUAUAACCAGUUCAGAAGUUGAAGUUUAAAGAGGGAAUGAGAAACAAAAAAUCAUACAAAGUUCCUUCAGUAUCUAUGUAAGCAACUUUUCCAUUCCCUCCCCGCAUGCUAGUGGGAAGCUGCAAAAGUUGUUGGAAAGAAAAAUCAGCAAAUCAAGGAUCCAUGUGAGUAAAACUUGCUAGUUUUAUGUCAUGCAUUAAAUGCUAAUCUGAAGCAUAUAUUUGAUUCCAUAGUGAUUGAUGCACCAGAGGGAGUUCACUCUCAUUUCAUUUGUUAAAUUAUUUAGUUCGUAACUAAUGCUACAUGACAUAGGAAGACAGUCAGGAUUAGCACAAAAAAUCCGGCCCAUCCACCAGCCACCCAUGUAUAUUAUUAGAUUCUUGUAUAAUCAUGGGCGACGUUACCUUUCACUCUUUAUAAAGCCCUCAUAUUUAAAAUGUUUAGAAGGGAUCAAGAAAAACACUACCUACAGACUAUCAGUCACACCCAGCAGAUUUUUCUUAGUGCCGCCAGGAUAAGCUUAACAAGUAAACAUUUCCAUGCUAGCAUAAAGCAAAAAAAAUAACCUGUGUGGAAACGCAUAGAGUAUGUGCGAGCUGUGUUUUCCCGGACCUGAGUCAAUUUUGGUAGCCAAGCAAUCAGAAGACAAGCCAACAAAUAGAAGAUGAGUUAAGAGAUUCGUCCUACCAAAUUUUACUUUCUCUAUUUAAAUUUGGCGGGAGAGGAAAUGAAAGAAAAUAGAAUCCACAUAAAAAUAGAUUUUUUAAAAAGACAAAUUAACCUGCUUCAUUUGUUCUUGCAUAUUUAUUCAAAUUUAUUUAUCUUCUUUCUUCUACUGUAAAAACAAGAAAAAUAAACUGUGCAAAAUCAAAAAGAGAAUUUGAAUGUCUCCCUUUUUUCCUCUCUUUUUUUUUUUUCAUCUAAACAAGGCCCGAAAAUAUAAAAAAUAUUUGAAAGGAAAUAUUCCUUAAUUUCUGUAAAAAUAUUUUAAUUUAUGAGUACUGAUAGACUGCGCUAAGGCUCUCACCGGAAUUCCCCAAAGGCUUCUGUUAUUGCCGAAGUUUCUAUGCCACCUAUGCAGAUUCAAAAAGAAAAAUUAGUUGCAGCAAAAGUGGCAAAUAUAGAACAAGAAAAUCAAUUUUUCAGAGAGAUAACACUAUUAGAAUUUACCGCCUAAGAGUUCAUCUAAGGCCUGGCUUCCAGUUGUGAUGCGAACCACCGACUUUCUCUAUAUGCAAACGGGAAUUAGCAUUCAGGUUCACUGUUAAAACAUAGUUAAGUCUAACCACUUUUGAGUGUUGCUAACAUGCGCCUUUAUUCCUAAUUCCUAACCAUUCUCUUAUAAAUAAAAUUAUGCAUUAGACUCAGAGGAAUCAGAUCUGAUCCGAGCCCUUAAUCUGUGCCCAGAUCUGAUCAAUAGGCUUAAUAGGUGCAUUUGGCGCCAGCGGGAAUGUUAGACUUUCCAUUUUAUUUAAAAAAUUUGAAAGAACUUCAAUCUUACUCUGAGCAGAGCAUCGCUUCCAGUAAUGUAACCAAAAUUCUGAGAACAUUUCAAACGAAAAGUACAACAAAUUAGCUCCAAGCCUGAGCAAAAUAUAUGAAAGAAAAUUAUUCAUAGAAUAUUGUUUCUAUCUAGCACUAACCACUAUCUUUUCAGCUGCUUCGCAUAUCUUAUCAACUUUGGCCUCUGAUAAUCCUUUGAUCCCUGUCAAGUUCUGGAAAAAAACAAAAUCACGGUAAGCAAAACCUUCAGAGUUCGAACAAUCUAAAUUCAGAAUCGUCUCACUUUCUUUGUGUGCAUCAUCAAGCCGUUGCAGGUAUAAAUUCCUGCGUCUUGAAGCUUCUUCACAUCUCCAGCAUUAAUUCCCUGAGAAAUCACUGCAGAAUCGCGAAGUUCGGAAUCUAAUGUUUAAAACGGAUAACUCAACUGAACCAAGGCAAGUUAGAAAGGCUUUUGCCUACAUUUCGCUUAACGAUUAAACGGAGGAUAAGUGGUUUUCGCACAAAAUCAACAUCCAAUAUCAAACAGAGGAUAAGCAUAUUUGAAUUUUAUACAUCUAGUACACAACAGAAAGUAGUUGGAGAUCUACACUAAGCGAUGAAGUAACAUCAGAUUCUUCUCAAGCACUCGCCAGAUAAAACAGAUACUGUAGAAAUCAAAUUCUAAAACUAGAAACGAAGAAACAAACGAAGCAAGCUGAGAAUUUAUCGUCAACAUGAAAACAAAGAGAAACCGAGUCUGAAACUCAUCAUUGCCCACAUGAAUCCAAAAUAAGAACUCAAAGCUCAUGUGAAAGAGCUGGAUUUCAAUUAACAGUAUUAAAAAAAAAAAAAAAGGGUAUAAGACAGGAAGGAAGAAUUCAAACAGAUACAAAUCAAAAUCGAUUGUGUAGUUACGUUUAUCGAUAGCUUCAAACAAGUCUUCCUCAUCUUCAAUGUCUUCUCUUUCCACGAGCUGUAACUGGCUAUGUUCUUCGGAUCUGGACGGAAAAGAAUAAUGAGAUUUUGCUUUCACAUAAUUCAAUACUGUUGCAACAAAUUAACACGAAAUGUAUGAAUUUCAAAGAGCUUACUUGAGAGCUGCAAUCAUUUUGCGUCACUGUAGAGAGAGAGUGUCUGGUGAGUUUCCAGAGUGAUGGAUUGGAAAAGAAGAUAUAGGGCGGGAACCGGGAUUGAAGACGUUUAUUAAAUAGAGUUGAUUUGUGAUUGAGAUCCGAAUUCUAAUGUGAACUAAUCGGGAGUGUUUGUUUGUGGAGUUAUGCCAUACCAAAUCAAUAUAACAGUGGUGAAAAAAGUGUUUGUCAAUAUCCAGUAUCCACAAAGCAGUCAAAUUAUGCUAGUCUGUUCAAAACGUCAAAUCCAGUUCCUCGAUCUCUUUAUGAGACUUUUGGCUGCUUAGGCAUUUGUUUCGCAACCAUCAAUUGGAAAUUUUUAACAUUGUGGAUUCAUGUAGAAAGUUGUUUGGCUAAAGAUUCAUUUUCAAAUCACUAGCUUAUAUGGUAUCCCGAUGUUUUGCCAUAAGGUCACACAACUAACUCAUGGGGUACAAAUGAGGUGUUGUCUUGAGUUCUUGAUUCUUGGCAUGGUAAAUCAAUUUAAUGACUUAAAGUAACUUAAUGACUUAAUGAUUUAAUUUAUAUCAAUGUAUAAAGAAUUAUCAAUUUUUGACAUCUAUAAAGGUGUUUGGUAAAUCAAUUUAAUAACUUAAAGUAACUUGAUAGCUUAAUGAUUUAAUUUAUAUCAAUUUCAAAUUUUUUGUAAACAUAAAUUUAUAUUUAAGUAAUAAUAAGAUAAUUAUUGUAACUUGAUAUUUAAAGUAAUUUUUAACUUUAAGUUGUAAUAUUAAGUUGUUUUAAUAAAUAUAUUUAAUUUAUUUAAUAAGUUAAAUAAAGUUAUUAAGUCACUUUAAGUAAUUAAAUUGAUUUAUCAAACGCCCUCUAAACCUCAAAAUAAAAUAGAGGUUAAUGCCCAAUGGCCCAAGGAGUCAAUAGGGCUCUAUUGGAAGUCUAAAGGUAAUAAUAGAGAAAGUGAAAAAACACGUUGUUUCCCCUCCCCUCAUAAAAAAAAAAUAAGGUCUUUGUUACAUUGCUUUGGGCAUGAGGAGCCAUGUUUAAGUUUGGUGGUUGUUGUAUUAGUAUAGUUGUAAAGGUAAGGUGUUGUUCUUGGAGGUUGAUCAUACAUAUGAUGUUGCAAGUGAUUUGACAAUUUUCUCAAUAAAACAUCCUUUAGUCGUAAGGGUUAAGGGUCACCUCCUAACUGUUUUAUGCAUAUAUGGAAGUUAAAGCUUAUGUUUGUGAAAAUUAUCAAAUUGUACAUCUUCACUUUAAGGUCUUCUUACUUGAGCAACUCCAUAUGACCUUAGGUAUCAAUUUCCCUUCAAGCAUAAGAAGCUUGAAUGGCUAAAUCAAGGAGUUCUCAACCAGAGCCCACAAACCCUUAGGCUAUGAAUGUCUUUAAGGUUACCAUAUGAGGUGAAUGAGAUCAAAGGGGUAGGAUUAGGGAUUUCUUAACUUGAGUCCACCUGAACCCUUAAAUGAUGAAUGCCCUUGAGGGUAUCUUAGGAAGCAAAUAAAAUGAAAUGAGCAAAGUUAGAGAAUUCUUGAUCUAAGUCUACUCAAACCCGUAGACGAUGAUUGCACUUUAGAGUCCUUUGCCUUAAAAAGCAAAUGAAAUGAGAGGGAUAAGGUUAGAGACUUCUUCACUUAAGCCUACCCAAACUUAGACAAUGAUUGUCCUAGAGAGUCCCUUGCCUUGCUUUAGGAGGUGAAUGAAGUGAAAAAUGAAAGGUCAAAAAAUUUUCGUAAGGAUAGUGUUACUAGCAAAUAGUCAAGUUGAUAAGACCUUUCUACAUAACAUUGCAAUCAUAAGAUCAUUGUCGAGAUAUCUUCUAAAUAUUUUUAGACUCCAUCCUAAUAAAAUUUCUUUCCAAGGAAAACGCAUGAAAUAAAUAUCUUCUUUUAGGGUUUGGAAAAAAUGGUCAACUAGUGAGAUAUUCAUAAUAUCAUUCUACAAUAGAGCUUUCAUAUAUAGAAAAGCAAAUAAAGCCCCAAAAACAAAUGCUUCUUGAUAAAUCGCUUUUUGACAAAUCACUUCUUGUUAAGGUGGAUAGGUUUGGGAGGACCAUAUAUAAAUAAAAAUCUUUUACCAUAUAGAGUCUCUAGCAAGUAGAACUUAAGACCUUACUUGGUAACUCUUACAAUUUUUUUUUCUUCUUAAGAAGACAAAACUAUUUUCUAACUAAAAAACCAUGUGUUUGUCAAACUUUGAAUAGAAUAUUAUUGUUUGAGAAUUUAUUCUAAAAAUAGAUUUUUUUUUAGAACAAAAUUUAAGUGUUUUCAAUUACUUUUUUUCUAUAGAGUGUCUUAACCAAUUAUUGAAAGUAUGAAAAAUACUUUAAAAACUUUUGCAUUUUAUAUGUGUAGUACCUUUACAGAAAACAAGUCAAGAAAACUACUUUUUAUAUUUGAGUUUCUAAAUACAAUUUUGUUCUUGAAAACAAUUGAAACUAUUUUUAAGAGUUCUUCUUAAAAAACUACUUUUUAAAAAGGAUUUUUGAAACAUUCCUAAACAAGCUCUAAUAUUUUCCUUUCAAACAUGUUGAUUUUUAUAAUAAGAGUGUUCUUCUUUGAAAUAGAUGUAUCUUGGUAAUUUUAUUUAAGGUAGAGAGUCCAUUGCAUAUGAGUAUCUACAAAAUUCAGCAUUCAUGUUUAUCUAAGAAUAAAAUUUAAAUAAAAAGUAUUGGACUGCAACAAUACUGCUAUUAAGGACAAUGAUGGAUCACCCAAAACGAUAAUGGUUGAAUAUCAUAAAAUACUUAACCUACCCUCACUACACGCCAAUUGAUUUUCAAAUAAGAUGGUCAAUGUUCAAUUCAAUAAUUUAUAUUAGACCCGAUGAUCAUGGACUCGAUCCAUUGUUGAAAAAAGAAUUGUUAGAGUACGACAAUGUCACUCUAAAGGUUGGGGAUUGGUCACCUAGAUGAAUAUCAUAAAAGGCCUAGCCUAUCUUCACUAAUACCAAUUGAUUUUCAAAUGAGACGGUCAAAACUCAAUCCAAGAUUACCCCACUUUUGGUUUUCAAAGGUUCAAUCUCUCCUUACAUCUGCCUCUAACAUCUUAAACCCUGAAACUAAAUAAACUUGUAUAGUAAAAUCAAUUAUAACACACAUGGCAUAGGCUUAUUAGGCAAAAUGACCUAAAAAUAAACAAUAUCGUUUUAAAAAAAAAAUAUGAAAAACAUAAAUCUCAAACUAGUUGGUUUAUUUUGAACUAUGUUGAUGCUUGAAAAGUCCAAAAGUCAAAGUGAAAUGGCUCGGAGAUGCUUUGUUUGAAGUUAAAAAAGUUUUUUUUCAAAUUGAAAUAAUGUUAUUCCAAAUUGUACAUGCUUUGUUCAAAAUCUCAAUUAUAAGACACAUGACAUAGGCUUGUUAGCCAAUAAGAUUUAAAAAUAAAUAUUAUUGUUUAAACAAAUAUAUAAAAAAACAUGAAUCCCAAACUAGUUAGCUCAUCUUGAACUACAUUAAUGAUUGAAAAGCCCAAAAAUCAUAAGUAGAAUGGCUUGGAGAAGCCUAGUUUGAAGUUAAGAAGUUUUGUUCGGAUUGCAAUGGUGCCAUUCAAAAUUGCACAAGCUUUGUUCAAAAUCUUGUUCCAAAUUCAAGAGGAUUUUAAGCAAUACUUUUUGUUUUUAGUAAUCAUAGGCCCAACCCCACCCAAAAGCAUCUUUCCAACCCAAAAAGACUACACGAGCUUACUUGAAGCCCAACUAUUCGGGCUUGAGCUUGACCGACUGACCCGAAUUUACAAUCAUAAUCCUAAUAUAUGUUUAAGGUUACAAAUAUAAGUGUAAAAUAAAUCUUAGCAUGGUGCUAAGCUAUAAUUUUUACCCACAAUGAACCAAGUUGCUUGGAUUCUUGAGCAUCGAUUUUUCUGAGAAUAUUGUGAUAAAAUUGCCAAAUUAUCAAUGAUAUCCCUAAUUAUGUACCAAAAUCAACAACUAAUAUGCCCUUAUGAAAAUAUCAUGAUAGAUUUAUUUAUGACUUUUUUGGUUGAUUUGUGUCGCUGAAAAUAUAUAUCAUCUUUCGAUUUAAGAUAUGGCAUGUAUUCGAUCAUUUGAUUAAAGUUUCUCAAUUUUUUAAUCCUUACUCGUAAAAACCAUCAAAAUUCAUGUGUCGCUUGCAAUAGUUCCUAGUCACUACCUAUGUGAAUAAUAAGGAUCUUGGAUGCAACUUAGAAGUUGUCAUUUUAAGUCUUAUGAAGCCCAACGUAUGUUCUAGAAGUUAUAUAAGGAGGGAAAUCUUCAAAGUAUUGGGAGCAAUUUUUGUCAAAAUGAAUUCCUUAUCAUCAUAUUUGAUUGAUUAAAUAUAACAUGUUAUCGAAUAAGAGAUAAUAUAAUAUAUUAUAUAUUUCGUUUAAUUAAUGAUGAAAAUAAGAUAAUAUUUCAUCUUCAAUCAAAUAUAGGAUAAAAUAAGCAUUAGAGUGUGACAUAUUAUCUCAAUUCUAUUUUUUAUAUUAUGAUAUAAUAAUAUAGAAUAUAUGUGCCCAUAUACACACACAUAUAUAUUUCAUUUUUUUUCAAUUUUCUAUAUUACUCAUUUCAUAAAAUAAUUUUUUUUAUUAAAAAACAAAUUAUAGUUAAAAAUCUAAAAAAUACAAAUAAAAUAAUAUUAUUAAAUGUAUUAUUUAAUAUAUAAAAACUGUUUUAUAUAUUCAACAACAUAAUAUAUUUUUUUAAAAUUUAUAAAUUUUAAAUAUAUAAAACACCAGUAUUAAUAAAUAAAUAAAGAUUAUGACAAUAUUCAAAUAACACUAAACAUAUAAGAAAUUUAAUACUUUUUAAUCACAAAUAUUGUAAUUUAAUAGAAUUUAUAUUUUAAAUAAAUAUUGAACACUAACAAAUAAUACCCUUUAAUUUAUAUAUAUAUAUUAUAUCCCGCCAACCAAAUAUAACCUAAGCCAUAUUUGUCUAGUUAGAAAUAACAUACGAUAAAAUUAAAAAAUGUAAUAAAACAUUUUAUUCCAUGUUUGGUUCAUGAUGAAAUAACACAAGUUAUAUCAUCCUCAACUAAAUAUGAGAUAAAAUAAAUGACUUACCAAAUAUGUACUAAGAUAUAUCAUUUCACAUUUUUUUUAUAUAUCUUAUGCAUGAGAUAUAAUGAUUCGAAGUUAUAUAUAAAAUAUGCAUAUCCCAUAAAUUAUAAAUUUGUGCUACUUGUACAUUUUUUCAAAAUUUUAAGUUAAUUUUUCCAUAUCAAUUUAUUUCAUAAAAGAAAAAAAUUUGAGUAAAAAAAUAAAAUUUGUAGCUAAAAAAAGAAAUAAAAAAAUAUGGAUAAACUAAAAUAAUACUAAUAUAUGUAUUAUUUAAUAUGUAUAAAAAUUGUUUUGUAUAUUUAAUAACAUAAUAUAAUUGUUUAAAUUAUUAUUUCUUUAUUAAAUUAUAAAUUAUAGAACAAUUUCAAAAUAAUAUUAAACAUAUGGGAAAUUCUUACAUGUUUAUCCUAAAUAUUAUGAUAAAAUUUAAUUUUUAUUUUACAAUAAAUAUCAAAAAUUGAAAAAUAAUAUGUUUUCUUUUUUCUUUUACCAAUCAAAUAUAAGCAAGAUAUAACAUAUCACAUUGGAUAGUAUAUCUAUUAUCUUGAAACUAAUAUCCUUAUAAGUAUAUAUAUCGAGAUGCAAUAUUUUAGAAUAAUAAUCAUGUUGGGUUGGAUCUUGUAUAAAUUUAUUUGAUUAAUGUUUCGAUUAAAUAUAUUUAUUAUUUAAUUCAUUCAUUUAUUUUAAAAUAAAUUUAAAAUGACUCAUAUACGAGUUAAACAAUUUAAAAUUAUAAUUCGAUUAAUAAGUAUGAUUUAUCAAAUGAGUGAAUUUUGAUCAAUUUUGUGUUAUACAUGUUGACCCAAAACUAUUUAUUUAUUAAACGGGUUAUGCAGUUCAAUAUAAAUUUGACUCAAACACAAUUAUACUUAACUUAAACCUGUAAAAAGUAUAUUGAUUUUGAGUUAUGUUGAUGAAUUAUAUCAAAUUUUAUAAAUUAUACUUGCAAAUCUAUGAAAUUUACAUGCAUAACACUCGUGAUAAUAAAUAUUUUAGUUUUUAGUGAAAUUUAUGAAACAUGUGACUAUGAACCAAAUAACACACAUGAGUAGAAAAUAAAGAAAAAUACAAAAUUUUUAAUGACGAUCAAUAUAAUCUAUAUGUCCAUGAAGUAUAUAUUCACUUAAAAAUUUAUUAACAAGAAUGAAAGAGAAGAGUUAUAAUAGUGAAACUCUAAAAAAAAAAAUCUCAUUUAUGGUUGUACUAUCUAAAAAACAAAACCUUAAACAUAAAUGUUUAAUAUACAAUAGAAGUAAACUCGUCCAUCGAUACAUAAUUUUUUUUUUCCCACUUUGUGAGUUGAUUAGGUAGCUCGUAAUAUAUUGAGAGAAGCAUAACAAAACUGAUUUAAUCUUUACAAUCCAACAACAACAAAAUAUCAAACUUAUAAAAUUAAAAAUAAAAAUUAUAAUAUUAUAAAAUUAGAUUUAUGAAAGAAGUACCUAUAAAGUGUUGGGACUAACUGAUGAAAAUAAUUUUUUACUUUAAAAAAAAAAAAAGAAUUUUAGAAAAUAUUUUUGAAUUAUUUUCAAUUGUUUUUUAUUUUUAAAAACAAUCAUACCAUCAUAAAAAGCAAUUUAAAAUAAAACAUUAUACAUAAGAAUUAUUUUUAAAACAUAUUUAAAAAUAUAUAAAAUAAAUAUAAAAAUAUUUGUAGUUUUCAAAUUAAUUUUUAUUCUUCAAAGUAUUAAAGAAUAAUUUUUAAAAAAUUAUUAUUGAAAACACUUCCGUGGACUCUUGCUUUUUUAAGAUCCUCAAAAGGAAAGGAUAAAGAGGUAAUUUACCCUUUAUGAUGAUUCCGGGUAGAUUAAUUAAGACUAGACGCCCCGAAUUUGAUUAGAGAAAAGGAAGAAAAUGUCGCGUGGAGUGUGGAGCGGUCGAUGAAUCACACGGUGGCUGAAAAUAUUCAUGGAUGGCCUGAUUUGAAUAUUUGACAGCUCAGCCACUCACUGUUUAAGUGUCGAUGACUUUAUUCAGAAUUAGAACGUACAUUCAUAUAAGGGUAUAUUCGGUCUUUCCUCACCUUCAGUCCACAAUGAUUACGUAAAUAACUUUGCCUGCGACGCCCACGACUAGAUUUUAGGGUUUCUCUCUCACUUUCGGAAGGAGCGGUGUUCUUCUCCUUCCGCUGCUCUUCAUCUUUCCUUGUUUGCCUCUCUGUUUGCUUUUGUUUCUUCCCCUUGGGUUUUCUUUUCAUUUCCCUGCUAUUCUCUGCUUGGCCCCGCCUUGAUCCAAAACCUCUCCAAAUACACUCAAACCUCCAAUUCCUACGCAGCUCCAAAAAUUUGAUUCCUUAUCCGUUGGUUAUCCCCAAAUUGUAUUUUCUCAGUUUAUUACCCAAAUGCAGCUUCCCGAUUCCGGUGAGGUCGUCUCCGUGACCGAACCCGUAAAGGACGACCAGUCAAAGCCGUUGGACGCGGCCUCGACCGGCGAAAACAAUGCCGAUGAUCAGUCGAUUCUUGAUGUUUCUGGGAGGAAUUUGGAGUUUUCAGUGUUGGAAAAUUGUGAGAGUACUGUUGAGGGGUUGUAUUUAUACAAAAAUGUAUUCAAUUUGAUUCCACAGCGGUUGGGCGAGUUGGGGAGGUUGAAGAUGUUGAAGUUCUUCGCAAAUGAGAUUAACUUGUUUCCGCCUGAGUUUAGGAAUUUGGUGGGAUUGGAAUGCUUGCAGGUCAAGUUAUCAUCGCCAGGGUUAAAUGGAUUGCCUUUGCAUAAGCUGAGAGGUUUGAAGGAGCUGGAGCUCUGUAAGGUGCCGCCGCGACCUUCGGCUUUUCCAUUGUUGAGCGAGAUUGCGGGGCUUAAGUGUUUGACUAAGCUCUCUGUGUGUCACUUCUCCAUAAGGUGAGUAUGUAUGUUUAGUUUUAGCAAUUAUUUGUGUUAUUCAUUUUUAAAGCAGUUUUUGAUAGCAAAUUGGGGCUCAUUUAAAAUUCAUAAGUCUGGAUUUGGAAGGCUUGUUGACGUCGUGUAAUUGUGUUUAUGGGGUUUAAAUCCGAUCAAGCCACCAACAAAUUGAAUUAUAAUUAGCCAAGUUUAAACCUAGCCAAGCUUGAGCUGUUUGGAUUACUCAGCACUGUAUAGAGUUGUUUGUUCGGUUCAUAAUAUGGGUGGGAGAAUGGAGUUGCUGCAUUGUCAACCAAUCUUAUUGAUUAGCUUGAUGGACACUUCCUUCUCGUACUAUGCACUUGCUUAACUCAAAUAUGGAACUUUGGUUUAGGUCAUGUGGCUUUGCAAGGUCUACGGUUUCCUAAUUACUUUGAUCAAAUCUCAGGAUGAGUCCUAGUCCUUAUUUAGUGAAACUGUGAAUUGACAUUAGUACUGUUCUUUUUGGUAUCUUGAGCAAUUGGGAAAAGCUGGAAAUUUAAGUUCCACAAAUUGUAGGGAAAAAGGUUCACUUAGUUCGUUCUAACUUCUAAGCUAUAACUUUCCAUGGUUUUUGGUGUAUUUUUUGGCAAAACACACAUGGUACGUUGCAUUAUAAUUAAUACAUCCUUUCUAGGAUGAAAUAUUAAAAGACCUAAAUCAUAUUAAGUGAACUAUGGUUGGUGAUGAUGAGUUUCUGAGAGAGAAAGAGAUUAGCGAAAAUUUUAUAUUCUGGGACAUGUUUAAGUGGCUUUGUAUGGUCCCUUGUAUCCUGAUUCCUUCACUUGAUCAGUUCUCAAGUUGGAUCGUGGUUCUUGUUGGCUGAGGCUAUGAAUCCACAUUAGCAAUCUCUGUUUUGUAUCAUGGAUGUUGGUAAUGUAAGUUCUACAAAUUGUUGAAAAAAAUUUGUAUAAGUUCAUUAGGUUACUAUCUAAUUUGUAAUUUUCUAUGUUUUUUUGGUGCAUUUGGGUUUGGAAAGAAUAUGUAGAAGUCCUGUUAUAAUUAAACGAACUGGUUGGGGCAAAUUACAAAAAUAUAAAAUUUAUUAAAAGCCGUAAAACAUGUUAAAAGUGAAGGUCAAAGAAUUUUAGUAGGAGAGGAACAAAAUUAGGGAAAGUGAGGAAGUUAUUUUAGCAGUGGCUAAAUUAGGAGAUUCCUAGAAACUAAUUUUGUUUUUGAUAGGUGAAUAAGAGCUUGUAUUAGAAACGCCUAGAAGUGGUGAAAACAGUACAAAGGAGAUUCCUAGAAACUAAUAACUAUACUAGGGUUAGAAAUUACAAGUUUUUUGAAGACUUGGGAUAAUGAAGGUGGAUUAAAUUAUUGAAAAAUAAAAGCAGGAAAAACUAUGGGCUUUGAUGCAAUUCCCAUUUAGGGUUGAAAAUGAAUGGAUGAUAACAGUGUGGCAUGGUUAAUUUGUUUAAUGAGACCCUUUUUUUUUUUUGAUAGGUAAGUGUAACAAGAUCCUAUGUACAUGGAAGAUGCUAAUGAAUGAGAACACUAUGAUUCCCCUAUAUAAAUAAAAGGGGAAGAAGAUUGAGUGUAGAGGGGAAGAAGAGACCCAAGUCUCACACCUAUUGUUUGUAGAUGAUACCCUUCUUUUUUGCGAGUAUAAUGUAAAUUAGUUGAAAUAUUAGAAGUGGAUUGUCACUUGCUUUGAAUUGAUGUCAGGUUUGAAAAUAAAUUAGAGCGACUUCUCUUUUUGGGUGCAAAGUAGGGAAACUUCCUACUUCUUAUCUACGCUCACCCCUUAAGGCCCCUCACAAGUAGUGUGGUGUGUGGGAUUCAAUCGAGGAGAGAUUUAAGAGGAAUUUGGAUGCUUAGAAAAAAUAGUACAUGUUCAAAGGAGGAAGACUUGUCCUUAUCAAGAACACUAUCAAACCUAUUGGUGUUAGGUUUCAAACUAAGUUUACAAAAAACUGAAAUUAUUCCAAUGGGUGAGAUAGAGGAUGUAAAUAGAGUGACUUCUCUUUUUUGGUGCAAAGUAGGGAAACUUCCUACUUUUUAUCCAGGCUUAUCCCUUGGGACCCUUCACAAGUAGUGUGUUGUGUGGGAUUCAAUCAAGGAGAGAUUUAAGGGGAAUUUGGUUGCUUAGAAAAAACAAUACCUUUUCAAAGGAGGAAGACUUGUCCGUAUCAAGAACACUCUAUCAAACCUUCCUAAUAUUUUAUGUCCCUCUUUGCAAUGUUUAGAAAAGUAAGGUUCAGAUUAGAGAGAUUUCAAAGGGACUUUUUGUGGGGAGAUACGGGAAGAAGGAGAAAGAUUCACUUGACCGUAUGUGUGUAAGGAUAAGAAGCAUGGAGGUCUGGGAUUAAGAAGGUUGGAGGGUCUUAAUCAAGCCUUUCUAGGCAAAUGGUUAUGGAGAUUUUCUUUUGAAUGAGAGAGAUUGCAGAGGAAUAGCAUUUUUGGAAAAUUCGAAGAGAUGAAGGGGGUUGGACUACUAGAGGGGUGAGGGAUUCCUUUGGGAUGAGCCUUUGGAAAGACAUUAGAAAAGGGUGGGAAGAGUUUAGUGUCAGAAUCUCUAUCCAAAUAGGAAAUAGUUGAUGUACAAGAUUCUGGUAAGGCAAUUGGGCGGGGGAAUGUAAGUUGAAAGCCGUUUACCUUACACUUUUCAAGAUAGCAUCCCACAAAAAUGCUACAGUUGUAGAUUUGUGGGGCAAAGAAGGGGGCGGAGAUGGACAUUGGAAUGUUUAAUUUAGAAGAUUCUUCCAAGAUUAGGAUAUAGAGGAGAUGAUUUAUUUCUUAGAGCUUAUUCACUAGUUAAAAGUGCAAAGAGAGGACAUUUUAAUUUGGAAAGAUGAUAGGAGGGGACAUUUUAGUCUUAAGUCAUAUUACAAUUCCCUAAGGGUUGAGAAUAAUUUAGUAUUUCUAGGCAAAGAGAUCCAGGGGAUCUUGUACUCAUCUUAGAACUUGGUUUUUUACUUGGGAAACUGUUUGGAGGAAGGUCUUAACCGUAGAUACUUUAAUGAAGAGGAGGUGACAAAUGAUCAACAGAUGCAACUGUUGUAAAGAUAGUGAAGAAUUAGUUGAUUGCAUUUUGAUUCAUUAUGUUAAGAGAAGAGAGCUAUGAAUGUUUUUGUUAGCAAUCUUUGGCUUGGUUUGGGUGUGUCCGACCUUAGUGAGGAAUCUCCUCCUAGAAUGGAAAGUUAAGAGGCUAGAUAAGAAGAAAAGAGCUUUCAUAUCAAAGAUUAAAUGAUUUUUUCAUUUGAUUGCUUUCAAAGUGGUUCUAGGAUUCUUUGGAGUUGGAGCACUCCUUUAUUUUUAUUUUCUUAGUUGCUCUAUAUUGUGGUUAGCUAUACCCUGUUUUUGUAGGCUAACUUUGUCUUUGUUUGUUGCUUUGUUUGGGCUGUUCUGUGUAUACUACCUGUAUACGUAGGGUGCACCCCCUCUUUUUGGUGCUUCUUAAUCCAUGAUUCUGUUGUCCAUCAAAAAAGAAACUAUGGUGUUGUUAUGCUUACGAGUUAUAUGAUGAAAUUUGGUGAAGAGUAGAUGGACAAGGAUUUAGAGAUGAAAUAAUGGUAUCAGAAAAUUAAUUUGGUUUUAUGCUAGGAAGAUUUACCAUGGUAGUUAUUUAUUUUAGGCAGUUAAUGAAAACAUAGGUGGGGGGGUGCUAAUAGGAGCUGAAAAUCACAAAACCUAAGCCUCCUAUCAAAAUAAAACAUGGGUAGAAGCAGUAGAAAGCAAUAUGAUUGCUAAAGGAUGUAACCGAUGUAUUGAACUAGGUUGAGCUGGAACAGAAAAAAGGGGCUCAUUUAGCCUAGGAAGCAGAUGGGAUAAUGGCUAUGUUGAGCUGUGGAGCUGGACUUUGCACAAACCCCCUAAGUAUUUGCUCUGACAAAACAUGGUGGGGUGUGGGAGCAAGAUAUGUUUAUGGUCACAGCUACAAGGUUAGGUGGGUGUAGUGGCCACAUAGAAGAGGAGACCGGCCUGGAAACAACAGUUUCUGAGAGCUCCCAAUGUAACAACCUGAGAUCCUGUUUCAAGGGUGGUGUGAGCUAUCCUAUCAUAAAAAAAAAGGGUGGUGUGAGCUAGAGAAAUCAUCAAUUACAUACAUUUCUGCCACAUUAUUUUGCACUUUUGUUGCUUUGAAGAUCAUCGUCUAGUUUUGCUAAAGCGGGUUCAAUACCCUUACUCCUCGAAUUUUUAAGAAAGUAGGGCAGUCAUUGAAGCUGUAUGAACAUGAAAUUAGGGAAAAUAAAGACAAAAGGAGGAAAAUGGAGAAAGAAUUCAUAUGUUUUUUUGCAAUUUUUAAGUUGUCAGAUAACCAUAAGGUUUGCUGGAAAUAGAACAAGUUCCAUAUGGUUGCUGGUGUUGUAUCUAGGUUUUUAUAGAUUCUGGCAGAUAGGUUUCUUCUAUAACAUAAGAGAUACGCGCAUAGGUGUUUAUUACAUUUUUAGUAAGUGAAUUAUUUUUAUGAAAAUUGCCUCGGAACCCCAUCAUUGGUAUUAUUUGUCAUUAUCAUUACACAUUAGUAUUAUUUAUAUUAAACUCUUAUCAUAUAAAUGGCUGUUAAACAAUCCUUUAUUUUUCAAAAUUUCUUUUUAAUAUAUAUGCACAGACACAUAAUUCAAAAUAUGUGUUUUUCCCCCCUUUUUUGGAGGUUGGGGUUGUUGAGGAGUGAGGUUGGCCAUUGUGGGAAUCUUCUCAUCCUCACUCAAUCUUUUUGCCACCUGAGCAGGCUUCAGGAGCACCUUAAUUUUACCUUUGAUAGUUGAAUGCAUAUGCCAUAUCCUUUUUUUUUUUUGUUAAGUAUCAAUGCCUAUGUCAUGUUGUGGUAUCCUAAAUUUGGCGAGUCAACAAAUUUGCCACUUAUAUUGCACUCACACUCAACACCCAUACAGUACUCCAUAUAGGUUAAUAACUGCUUAUAAACUGCAAAAUGCUUAUUUUUAAACUAUGUCACAUGCUUACUUUCUGGUGCUUCCAUUAUAAUAUUUGACUCAUUUGCUUAUCAAACCUCCUCCCCUCCCCCCCCCCCCCCCCCCAAAAAAUAAAUAAAUAAAUAAAUAAAAAAAUAAAGAAAGACAAAAACAAAAAAAAAAACUAUGUUUGUGGCUGUUCAGUGCAGGUGUAUGUCUAGGUAUCUAAUCCUUCAUGUCUCAAAUUUAGCUUAUGGGGACUUGGAUGAAAAAUGCUCUUGAAUGGUAUUUGAAUAUGACAUAAUAAAGAAAAAAAAUCAAUUCAAAGUCAAUUAGAGGCCAAAACUAACAAAUCCUUGAUUAAAAAAAGACUCUACUAUCUUCUUUUUAUCCCUUUUUUUUUUUUUUUAAAUAGGUUGAGAUCCAAAGCAAAAUGGGUACCCUUUUCAUGUUGUAUUGACACAGAUAUGUAAGGUGAAGUUGAAAAGUCCUAGUAUCACAACUUUUGAAUAUUUAAAUUUGUCAAGGCACUUGCAUUAAAUUUUUCUGUAAAUUCAUGCUCACAAAUAAUAUAUUUAAAGGACACUUGAUGAAUGCAGAAUAGAAUAUGCUUUUUGGAAGACCCAAAAAAAAAAAAGAAAAGGAAAAACUGUUACUUGUAAAUGAUAUUCUCUAAAGCUUGCUGAAUUAUGUUCUCAAAUCAUUGGAGGGCCUUCUGGCAAUUAUUGCAUUUAUUUUCUUCUGUAGAUACCUUCCCCCAGAAAUUGGUUGCCUUAAUAAUUUGGAGGAUUUGGACCUUUCGUUCAACAAGAUGAAGAGCCUGCCCACCGAGAUUAGUUAUUUAAGCGCCUUGAUAUCACUGAAAGUUGCUAAUAAUAAAUUGGUGGAACUACCAUCAGGCUUGUCUUCUCUGCAAAGGUUGGAGAAUUUGGACCUAUCAAAUAAUAGGUUGACGUCGUUGGGAUCUCUUGAGCUUGUCUCAAUGCAUAACCUUCAGAACUUAAAUCUUCAGGUAUUUAUCUAUUAAUCAUAAACUAAGAAAAAUGAUGUGAUGUCAGUCCCUUGUCAUCUCUCUAGCAUCCUGCAUUAUUCUCUUCCUAUUGUUCGAUUUAGCAAAUUUCAGUUCCUUCCUUGUUCAGAUCUCUAUUCCAUUAUACCUCUUUUCUGCCUUCCCACUUACUGACAGCAUGGAUCCUCUUUUCAGGUGACUGUUUGUACUUUCCCAAAAAAUAAAAAUUCUGAUGGUUGCAGGCUAUCUUUUAAUAUACAUUCUGAAUAUUAUUCUUUUAAUUUUUCUCUGGUGGCUUUUUUUAAUUGUUUUUAUUUUUAAUUUUUUAUUCUUAAAUUUGCAGUGGGAAAAUUUUAUUAGCAGUUGGUUGUUCAUGGCUUUUUACUUAAAUUUUACUUUGCAUUUCCAUGUCCGAAUCUCCAAACCUGACAUGUUUAUUUUGUGCCCUUAAUUCUUUGUUAUCGUUCAAGUACAAUAAGCUUCUCAGUUGUUGUCAAAUACCCUCAUGGAUAUGCUGCAAUUUGGAAGGAAAUGGCAAAGAUGCAUGCAAUGAUGAAUUCAUCAGCUCUUCAGUUGAAAUGGAUGUAUUGGAAACUACCAAUCAAGAGAUUGAUGAAAGCAUCUGCUGUAAUGGUGAGACCUGGUCUCACAUCUCCCCAGUGCACACACACAUGCAGAUGUAUAUUUGUUAAUAUUGACAUUGUUCUUUUUUGCUUUUGCAUAUGAUUCUCUAGCAUGCUUAUGAUACAAAGUGUAUAUUGUUUUGAAUUGACUCAGGCUCUCCUAAUACCUCAUCAAGUACUUUAACUGGGCCAUCAUCGAACAGUCGAUGUUUUGUGGCAAGGAUGUCUCAGAAGGGGUGGAAGCGAAGAUAUUAUUUGCAACAGAGAGCACGUCAAGAGCGUUUAAACAAUAGUAGGAAGUGGAAAAGUGAAGACCAUGCUGAGGUGUUGACCAUCAAGGCAGCGGAAAAAUGUGAACAUGGAAAACUAGCUGUUCUUCACCCUGAAUCUCUUGCAGAACAUGCACCAGACAUUGUGGUUCUAGAUAAUGAUGAUAAACAGUUACUUUCUGAAGAAGCUGAGAGUGAGAAUUUGCUUAACAGUGUUGAGGAUGCUGAAAGUGGUCCAAGAAAAGGGUCAUGUGCUGUCCUUGAUUCCAUUGCAAUAAAUCAGGGGAGUAAAAGUGAAUGUAAUGAUGAUGAUGCAUCAUUAUCCUCUCUAUCAAAAGGAGCCAGUGAGAAAAAUGAAGGCUCAUCUUCAGAGGUAUCUAAAAGUACACCAAAGUCGAAAAGGCAUUCUGAUAGGGAUCUUGAUAACCCCAAACCAUGCAAGGCUCGGAGACCAGUUAAUGAACACUCAAAUUUGUCUUGUAAAUAUAGUAAAAUUUCAUACUGUAACAUUGAGGACCGCCUACCAGAUGGCUUUUAUGAUGCAGGGCGUGAUCGGCCCUUCAUGCCAUUGACGGUUUAUGAGCAAAAUUUUCAUUUUGAUUCACGUGAAGUCAUUCUUUUGGACAGGUUGUUCCUUGUUCUUGGUGCACUUUAAUGUUGAAUUUGAUAUUAGUUUUGAUUUUUCUGCUAUCUGGUAAGCCAUAGGCAUAUUAUAUAUAUUUUAAUUUAACUGAUAUGUUUAAUUCUUUUCCUCAGGGAAAGGGAUGAAGAGUUAGAUGCAAUCACUCUGUCUGCGCAAGCGUUGGUGUCCCAGUUGAAGCAGCUAAAUGGUUUAACGAAAGAAAGGAAACAGGUUACUGAUGAUAACCUGCAGAUUGCGUCAUUGCUUGCUCUUUUUGUAUCAGAUCAUUUUGGAGGCAGUGAUAAGAGUGCUCUUAUUGAGAGGACACGAAAAUCCGUAUCUGGUUCAAACUAUCAAAAGCCGUUUGUUUGCUCCUGCUCAACUGGAAACCGUAACAAUAUUAGUACAUCUAACAAACAAAAUUUGGACACUGUAGAAGAUAUUGUUGUCUCUGAUCUCUGUGAGAAAUCUCUUCGUUCUAUCAAAGCAAGACGCAAUUCCAUCAUAGUUCCCAUAGGGACUUUGCAGUUUGGUGUAUGUAGACAUCGUGCAGUGCUCAUGAAGGUGAUUCUACUACUGGAUUUAUUUUUCUUUUUCUGGCUGGGUUGAUUUGCUUGCUAUCUGCUUCUAAUUUUUAGCAAUUAUGAGCUGACAAAAUUUUCAAUUGUUCUAGUAUCUAUGUGAUCGAAUGGAGCCUCCAGUUCCUUGUGAGCUUGUUAGGGGCUACUUGGAUUUUUUACCACAUGCUUGGAACGUUGUUCAUACUAAGAGGGGUGAUUCAUGGGUUCGCAUGAUAGUUGAUGCUUGUCGUCCACAUGAUAUUAGAGAAGAGACAGACCCAGAAUAUUUUUGCAGGUCAUUCUUUAUAUAUAUAUAUAUAUAUAUAUAUAUUUUCCGUCAUUGCUAGUCAUUCUGCGUAUUCAGAGAUGCAUAUGGAGCUGUGUUCUUGUGUAUGUGGGUAAUGUAUUAAUAUGGAGCAUGGAAUUUGAUCUAAACAUGCAAACUCCCCAUACCACUCUUCUAACAUUAUGCUUUUUCUUUUUUAAAUAAAAUAUAACAUAUUGUACUGUCUCAAAAUAAAAUACUGAGCAUGAAGGUCCUCUAAAGCAAUGGACUUCACAUGAUUUAUUUCUUCAUUUAUUUAUUUUUCAGUUGCAAUUGUGGGUUGGCCUAUUCUUCCUGAAACUGGGCAACAUAUGGUAUUCCUGUUUUGAGAUUUGUAAGAUUGGUUCUGUUUUGAUUAUUUAGUUGUUUAUGGAUAAGUAACUUGAGCGUUGCCACUGUUUUUUUGCUGCCUCUUUUGUUUUUUUGUCCAUUUUUUCUUUUAAUUUUUUAAUAAACACAAGACAUUGGAUUUACAAUGUUUUUGCCAAUUAGUUCUGCUUUAGGUUCAAAUCUAUAUAAGAUGAAACCAUAAGAUGUUUUCUAGUUAUAUAAUUGUUUCUACUUUAUAUUUUCCUGACUAUUUCAUCAUUAAACUAAUUGUAUUAUCUAAGUUUUCUUUUCUGAAAUCUCAUUUGCAUUUGAUAUAAAUGCCUGUUUCUAUUAUAAUUUGUGUUCUUUACUGAAAUAUCUGACAUGCAUGCUUGUUUUUUACAGAUACAUUCCUCUCAGUCGGAUUAAUGUUCCUCUUUCAACUCAAAGCACUCCUGUUACAGGAGGUUCUUUUCCUUCUCUGUCCGCAUGUGAUGAAAUUGCAAAUGCACCCUCUAGUUCACUCAUCCAGUGCAAAUUUGGAUCAGUUGAGGCUGCAGCAAAGGUGUGUUCUUGUUUCUUGAAAACUUUUCAGGUUUACAUUCUGACCAAGUAGAAAACAUUGAGCUUGUUUUUUAUUUUGUGAUUGGGUUUCAGUUAAAGCCAGUGCUGAUCACAUGGUGUCUUUUUAAAAGCCUCCUUGGUUUAUAUGCAUCAAUUGGUUCAAUUCUAUGUUUUUAUAUUUCAAUUUUAGUAAAAACAUGAAUGCGUCUUCAUUUAGUUGUCUUAUGUGUCAUUCAUUAUCUGGGUUUUAGUUAUUUCCCCUGGGCCUUCAACUAAAUUCUCUGUUCAAUUUAUUAUGUGCCAAUAUCAUUCUCAACUUUAUAGGCAUUGGGCACGUAGUUCCUGUUGAUUAUUACACUUUAUUGCGUCAUUUAGGCUAUCAGUUAGCUUGUGACCUGUUUGACUUGUUGGAUACUGCAGGUGCGUAUUUUAGAAGUAUGUGGUGAUUCCGUGGAUGAAGUUAGGAAUUUUGAGUACUGUUGUCUAGGGGAAGUGAGAAUUUUAGGUGCUCUUAAACACUCCUGCAUAGUAGAGAUUUAUGGGCAUCAGAUAUCUUCCAAGUGGAUUCCUGCAUCAGAUGGAAAUCUGGAGCACCGUGUAUUGCAGUCUGCAAUUUUGAUGGAGCAUGUAAAAGGGGGAUCUUUGAAGGUAAUCUUGCCUUUAAUUUAUCAAUGGCAUGUUUUAGUUGCUUAAUUUACGCAUGUAUCUUUUAAUUUAUGCUUGAGUGUUUUGCCUCCCUAUAAUAGAGUUAUUUAGAGAAGCUAUCAGAAGCUGGUGAGAAGCAUGUCCCAGUGGAGUUGGCAUUGUGUAUUGCUAGAGAUGUUGCAUCUGCAUUGGCAGAGCUGCAUUCAAAACAUAUUAUUCAUCGUGACAUAAAAAGUGAAAACAUUUUGAUUGAUUUGGAUAAGAAGAGAGCUGAUGGAACACCUGUCGUGAAGCUUUGUGAUUUUGAUAGAGCAGUACCUCUUCGGUCUUUCUUACAUUCCUGCUGCAUUGCACACAUUGGAAUACCUCCACCUGAUGUUUGUGUUGGAACACCUCGUUGGAUGGCACCUGAGGUGCUGCGGGCAAUGCAUAAACGGGAGAUAUAUGGGCUGGUAAAUUUCUCAUCCAUUGAGUUUUUAAACUAUCUAUCUAUCUAUAUGUAUGUAUGUAUCUGUAUAUAUAUAUAUAUAUAUAUAUACCUGUGUAAAAUUAGCAUGCAAUAGAUGCAUAUAUUAGCAUAUACUUCUCUGGUGAAUCUGCUGCUUUUGGCCCAUAUUUAUACCUGUUCUGUUUGUGGAAUUGAAUGCAAGUUCUUUGACUGGCAUGUGCAAAGUUAUGUUUACUUUGAGCUAGAUGAUACUUUUUCUUUGGGUGAAAAUUGUAUUUAAGACAGAAAGAGAUUAUCAUGAGAAAAGGGUAUUCAUCUGUAUUGAUAUUCAUAGGAUAGGACAAGGGUGGAUGAAGACGAUAAAAUCUUUUCAAACAGAUGGUCUUCCUUUCAAACUCGGAAAAUACACUAGAGAAAAUAGGGGUUCUGAAGGUAUACUUGAGAAAAUAGGGAACUUUUUAAAUAAUUAAUGAGAUAAACUUUACAAGUAGGGAAUUUUUUAGUAAUUAAUAAGAAAGAGAACAUUACAAAUGGAUGAAAAUUACAAUGUCCUUCAAAAAGUAAAACAGGACAAUGGUUGCCUAUACAAGCAACAACUUAAAAUUCCUGCCCCAGCUACUCUUUGGGAAGAAAAUAGCUACAAAAAUCUCCUUAAGGUUGCUUUUGGUACAUGGAAAAGAAUAUAGUAAAUGAGAAUGAAGGUGAAACACAAUACCAUGUGGAAGAGAGAAAUCAAAAUUCAAAUAAGAGCAAGUUUUGAUUUCUAUGAGAAUGAAUUUUUAUUCUUAUUUCCAUUUCUAUUAAGUAUCUAAACACGGUAAUGAAUAGGAGAUGGAAUGGAUUUCCAAUUCCUAUCUUCUAUUCCAGAGUUCCAAACAUCUCAGAAAAGCAUCAGUGCCUCUUCUGGUCAAGUUUGUCCACUGUGUCAUUAGUGGGCUGAAGGAUUAUAUUAUACUCUGCAUCCUGAUGAUGAGAACAAUCCAAGUUCUUGUGAAUGAAGUUAAUGUAAUCCUAAGGUACCACCCAAGCUUAUCAUUCCCAAGUCCUAACCCAUAAUAAUAUCACACAGGUCUCCUUAACAAAUUGAAGAAAUACGAUUGAUGGAUUGAGCAAGCUUUUCUAGAAAUAUUUAAUGAUAACAUAAGAGUGAUCUCAGAAAAUGAUUACAAAUUCUUGCAAUGAGAUCAAGCACUGAGUUUGUCCAGGAUCAUCAUUCUUGGUUAAAGUAUAUGAUAAAGUGUGUGAAGGGAUAGAGAACGUGGAUAAUGCAACAAUGUUAAAUAAGAUGUGGAUUGUGGAACAAGACUAGAGGGUGAGGUUAGGAUGAAUGAAGUGCUUACAUAGGGGAUGACGUUUUGUGGCAUUUAUUUACCUCAAGCAAUGUGUUGUUCACGGUUGAAACUAGCAGGAGGAAUGCCAAAAUGGAAUGUCUAGGAUGCUAAUAAUUUAGAACUAAAUUUACAGAAAAGCGCAUACAUGAGAAAAUAUAUGCAAUGAAAUAUUAGAAAAAGACAUGUUAUGAAUCUCUGUUUAGAUUGGUGACCAUUGGAUAUCUUCUUGUCACCUUAAAGCUACUGAUUUUCUCUCUCUUGGGUGGAUUCUACAUGAGAAAGAAGCUAAAGAAAUCUGCUUUUGUCCCUUUUUUUAAUGAUAAAUUUUAUGUUUGAAUCUUGAAGUCAUUAUUACAUUGAUCCGUCAUGGAUGCUGGCUAAUUGAUUUGGCAGAAUGGAACAAUCUCACUUUCAUGGAAUUGUUGAAGAUCCACAGAUCUGCUCCUAAAAUAUAACAUAGAAAAAAAAUAUCAGGUUACUGUUGAAUGAUGAAAUUCCACCCAAUUUUGUGGGUGGACAAAAAACCCACCAAACCGAUUGAGAAAGAACCGAACCUAUGUAAGCUGGUUUUUUGUCAAUUUUUUUUUUUUAAAUGAGAAACCAAAAUGAUUUAUUUGACAUUUGGGUAAAGAGGCUUUGCAUGGGUUGAAACUGAACCAUACUGUAAUAAGUUACCCUUGUUUUGGUUUCUUUUCCUCUAUAGCCAAGUUUAACUAAUUUCUUUCUUUCUCACUUUUCUCUCAACAACAAUAUGUUUUUUAGGCAUGAAUAUCUAUGUAAAAUAUUUUGAUAGAUAGACCUUAGUGUGUGAAAGCAGAUUUUUUUUGUUUGAUUUUUCUGGAAAAUAUCGAGUCUGAUUUUGGCCCAAAUCUAAUGAAGCCAAUCUGGAAUGAUUCUAAAUUGGGUAGGUUUGGUUUAAUAACUAGAUCUAUUCUAAUCAGUUCUAAUUUAAUAGAAGUCAAUCAACUUGGUUCAUUUGUUGGGUUGGUUAAGAACCAAUGUAAACCACCCACCCCUACUCACUUUCGACUAUCUUUUUUUUGUUGUGCUGUACUUAUAUGGUGUCUCAUGGUUGCUUUUCCUUUUAUUUGUCAUUCGUCUGUUUUACUGUUAUAGUGAUGCAUCUCAAAAGCAAAGCCUCAACAGUGUAGUUGACUAGAGAUUAGUUCUUUUAAUUGGAUUGAAAUAUUAAUGAUGGGUCGCCAAUUUUUCUAUGAAUAGUUUGUAUCUUCUGUUUUUUUGGAUAGGGGUGGCACUAAAUAGAUCAGGGUUUUGUUCAUGGUGAAUCAUCUUUGGUCUGAUCAGAAGUUGUUGCUAGGAUUGCUAACUCAAACUUGUCCAAAAUUAGGUGGGGUUGGGCCAGUAUAAUGGUUUUGGGCUUUUGCGCGCAGACAGGUUUCAAAUGGGUUUGGAUGCCUUGAAUGUGUUGCAAGGUGUCAUCAUGUGAACUCAAAAUAAUUGAAAGUUAGAUGGGUUGGAUGUGGCUAAAAUUUGAGACCCCUGUUUAUGGGGCAUUUCAGUGGUAGUUUGGCUAUGGCAAACUAUGUCACAAUUCUCUGACAGGCAUUGGUUUUUUGUUUGUUUGGUUUUAUUUUCUCUUUUUUUUGGUUAAUAGUGAACCAAUUUGACAAUAUGAAUAGCUGGUUGGUUGUCAACUUCUUGAUACCUUGAUCUUUAUUGUAAGAGAGAAUGUAUAUGCAAACACUAGGACCAGAAGAGAUGGAACGUAAUGAUUUAAAAAUUGAAUGAGCACAGCACCCUCAAUUCCUUCCUCAUUCUCCUCUUCUCAUUUUCUCCUUUUUCACUUCUGUUUUAUUUUUUCUUGUUUAAAUAUUUGCAAACUGUUAGUCUGAUUUGGAUGUUUAUCUUGUCUUUGCUAUGCAAAUAUACAUAUGAGUUUCAAAUGGGAAAUGCUUUCCUUUUUACCUAUGAAAUACUGAAUUUUGAUGGGUUUGGAUAGCAGUGCCAUUGCUACUUUCAUCAAUUGGUAGAUGUGACUUUGGGUCAUAAGUUCUCUUUCUUAUCUGGCUGCAGGAAGUGGAUAUUUGGUCAUAUGGGUGUCUCCUCUUGGAACUAUUGACUUUGCAAGUUCCUUAUUUUGAGUUAUCAGAAUCGCAGUUUCAUGAUCAACUUCAGGUAUGCUCUCUCUUCUUCUCUCCCUUCCCCUUCUCCCUCUCUCUCUUCCAUCUCUCCUCUCCAUCUUUUCCUUUCUCAUUUAAAGACAACUAGUUCAGGGUGGACCAAGAUUUUGUGUGAAAGCAGACCACAACUAAGAAAUGUGAUGAUGAUGGUAGACAGAUACUGGGAAUGGUUUUUAUACAUGAAUAUAUGCUCUGUAAUUGGUUAAAGAAGAAACUUAUUCUUAACCAAACAAUUAUAGAUUUGACAUCCUCAGUCACAAGAUUCUGCAAGGUUGAAUAGGGAAAAUUUUUUAUUCUGGUAUAUUCCCCUUCAUUAGUUUCUAAUUGACUAUAACGGUAGUGUUUCAUUGCAUAAUAGUUUGGGUUCCAUGUUCUGAGGUUGCAACUGAGGGUUAUGGACAAAUACUCUACUUCCACACUUCAUUUGUAGUUUUAAGUUUCAACUUGCUAUUGUUAUAUUUAAGAUGGUAUAUAAAUUUCAAUUUUUCAUUUUAAGCAGAUGGGAAAACGACCACAACUGCCAGAGGAAUUGGAAGCAUUGGGUUCACAGGAGCCUGAAAUGGCUCAAUCUGGCAAAGAGGAGGGACCAGAGACUGAAGUAGAAAAACUAGGAUUCCUAGUUGAUUUGGUCCGCUGGUGCACUAAGGGAAACCCGACUGACCGUCCAACGGCUGAAAACCUCUACAAAAUGUUGCUCACACAAACAAGAACUUUCACCAGUUCAAGAAGUUAGGAACAAGAAUAGGUUAACCUGUAGGCAAUAAUCUCAUCCUCACUCCAAAGUUUUGUUAGCCCUAGAUGUUGUGCUAUUGUACUGUUACUUCAUUUCUUUGGGGAUCUAAUAUUUGGGUUUUCCUCCCAAGAAUCAUUACAACCCUGUGUCAUUCAGUCAAUAUGUUUUAGCAACCUAACCAUAUUAUUUCCUUUGUAGGGUUAGAUUCACUUUGCGCAUUAUCUAUCUGUAAUUUAUUGAGAUGGUCCUUCAUUAAUGUCCUAAUUUUUAUUCUGAAAUGCUUAGCCAUUGAUGUAAUUUCCCAAUGAUGGGAGUAGGCUGAUUAACUUGUUACAGAAACUCAAAUCCUUUUACUCAACUCACUGUUUUUCUGUGUUUAUUAUUAUCAGUUUUACUUAAUUUAGUACAAAGGUUUUAUCUGAUUGGUAACCAUCUUAUAGACCUUCCAAAAUUGCACUACCUGGAAAUUUCUUGUAACCAUUCCACAUGUAAGGAUGGGUGUCGUGAAUCAGAGGGGGCGGAACCGUUACAAUGAGUUGGGGUUGUUUGUACUACUCCAAAGAAAGAAAAAUUUGCCAUAUCAUAUAUCAUAAUGGGUGUUCCCUGCUAUGUAAUUAGUGGGACUGAAUGCAGUAGUAGAGCUUGUAUGCAUAAAUGGUGCCCGGUUAUUUCUAAAAGAUGGUGGCCUUUUUACUUGACUGCUUUAUACAGCAAUGGAGGGUGGAAUAAACUAUGCGCCAGCUUGAAAAAGGGGAACCAUCUCCAUACCCAACAAUGAUGGAAUAGGGUCCGUGUGAGGAUUUGGUGUGGCUUUUCUCAUGAUGAGAGAGCUUCCAUGAUAAAAUGAAAUUGAAAUCGGAAGUCCUUCCUCAUGAGCCUCACACCAUGUAUUAUUAUUAUUAUUAUUAUAUUUUGAUUCUUAAUGGAAGCAGUACCACCAGCCCCAUCUAUAGUAAUUAUUAACCCAGCUUCUUGAAAGAGAAAAGAAAACAAAAGAGACAGUGAGAUUUGGUUGGAUUGGAUCCCAAACCAUCCUUCUCAUUGCUGCUGUCUGUCCUUGUGUAUGUCGUAGUGACCCAUGAAAUACCCAUCCAUAGACUAAUUAAUGAUUUGCAGCUGCCUUCCUCUCUCUUUUCACUGCCUUCUCUUGUUUGCCUUUUCUGUGACCAUAAUGUAUAUGAUGCUUAGAAGAUGUGACUCCGUGUGUGUGUGUGUGUGUGAGAGAGAGAGAGAGAGAGAGGGUGGGGGUGUAAAUGUUCCCUUCACAGUUCACACAGUACAGUUUUAGUACUGGACCACUCUACUAAGUCUAGUCUAAUCUAGACUAGGCUAUUACCACCCUCACUGUUCUGGCAUCCUGAAAUGAGGACCACCCCAGUCUUAAUAAUAAUCUAGGCCUAACAGGGGUCUUUGCCUUUGGGAACAUACACCAAGGACCUCUCCCUCUCACACACAUUUUAAGAUCCAAAGUGCCUUUAGUCACAAGGAAAUCAUUUUGGCCCUUUCUUUCUCCCUUAUCAGCUUCUACCAUAUUUGAUUAUUUAAAAAUCUAAAAAAAAAUGAUUUUGUCUUCCCAUUAUGUUCUCAAUAUUGCUGCUCCAGAAAACCUCAAUAACUUGUUGUAAAUUUACAUGUAGUCUGACAAAAGAAAUGAAUCCUAGGUAAUUUCGACAUUUUCCUGCAAUUGUUUUGAGUCCUUGCUAGAUCUCAACAGAGACUCAUCUCUGGAUUUGAGAAAAUCCUGGGGCCAUAGAUAGGAAAUUGUCACUAUAGGACCUGUGAGUAGCAUCCAGCAUAUACAAAAGUGGGUGGGUAGACUGAAAUUGGAAAGGGUGAUGAUUUUAGGUGGUAGAGAGGCAUACUAAUAAAAGGAGUGAAGCUUUUUGCAGUGGGUAAGGUUUUCAAUAAGAGGGUGCAAGCUACAAACUGACCAGCUUAAGCACACCUAUCACCUAUGGGGGGGGCACAGCAAAUGGACCACCUCCUUGACAGCAAAACUGUGACAACCAUUUUGGUAAAGCCAAGGUCUUGAAGCACCCUCUGUCUUUGGUAAAAACCUUUUGUAGCCCAAAUGUCCUAUUAUCUGAGUGGACCUCAGUCCAUCUCACUGAUGGAGUCUUGAGCUCAUGAAUUUUGCUGAAAUGGUCCAAUGGCUGGCCUUGAUAUUUCAUGUCACUGUUUAGGAGCCCCACUUCCCAAUCGCUCAACCACAAAUCUAAUCAAAAUCCAAUUCAUUUUGGUUGCAUUAAAGAGUGGAGUGAGCUACUGCAGUUUUGAACUGUGGGUUUCAUUGGUUUAUCUUCUUGGAUUGCAAAAACUCAUGGAGCUGUGUCUUAGCUUUUCAAAGACUAUGAAGCAGCUGCUAUAAGAUGAUUGAUAAAUUCAAAGAUCAAAAUUACAUAUCCAAUAAUGUUUUGAGCAUGUGAAUCAUCCAAAAAUGGAAGAUGGACUCUCACAAUUCAUAAAUAAAGUAGGCCCUGCGUGAAUGCUAGAGAAGGUGAGGUAGCUUUUAUAGCAAAAGCAAGUCCCAGCAAACAGAGAAGCAGGGCGGCGCUAUGAUUGUCCCCCAAUGGUGUCUUGAGAGACCAUACUACUAUACUCUCCUUUUUUCUAAAGCUUGUAAAGUAUUCAUGGUUAGGUUGUUGUCAAAUGAUCUUCUCAGUAACUCUGAAUCCACAUGCAACCUAAUGCUAUAUAUCUAUUUGCCUCUCAGAUUUUUCUGAACUAAAGUCUCACCCAUCUCUUCAAUUCUUAGCUAGCUAGCUGCUAGAAAACCACCAAAAAAUAUAUUGCUUCGACUCUGAGAAAACAUGAAAGGAACCUGAUAUCUUGGAUGUAAUACUGCCAAUUGCUGUAUAUAAGAAAGAAAAUUCACAGGGGUGAGAAUGCAAAUGGCUUAAUUUUGGUUCAGAAACUCGUUCAAGCAUCUCAAUCUUAUAUUAAUGGAAUCUCACAUUUUUUCAUUACAUGACGUACACUAACGCAUUUUAGUGGUCAAUGAAUCAGAAGCAUCUCUUGUUAAAAGUGCUUUUUAGUUUGGUCAAACACACAAUUUUCCUGCGUCGCUUGGCAGUAUGAGAAGCUCUAGACCAACAUAUGGUUUAGUCAGGAAACAACGGAUCAGCUCACACAUUGCAUUGAUCAUCACUGGUUUUGUACAUAAAAUACAAGAAUAUUUCUGAACUUCCCUUCCACAGUAGUUUACUUGGGAAACCCACUUUGAUGCCAUUCAACGUGCUGUUUUGUUUGCUUCUGAUCAUAUUUAAAAGGGAAAUGAGAUAAGUAAAAAAUAAAAAUAAAAACACAGAAAAGCCAUCUAGAUAGUAGCUAGAGGACCAGGGAAAAAACAAACUAAACCCUGGGAAACCUGUAUUACUUGCUCGUAUUAACAGCCACCACUUGCCCACCCAUCCUGCUUAAUCAAUCUUUGCGAUUGUCAUCACAUACCGUGGCCCCAAGAACUAGUUGUACGUUUAUACUCAGUACAUAUAUUUUCUAAGCUUAUUUCUGAGAAGAAAAGAAAAGCCUGGUCAGGCUACUCCGCCUUCUGUCAAAUACAUUGCAGUGAUUAAUCACAAAAACUGAACUAAAAACAAGUCAGGCGCCGCGUUGUGGAAUGAUUGAACUAGCUAUGUAUAUUAUUUGACACUCAUUCUAUUUGGAAGGAAAGUUCAUGAUCAUCAGCACUCGAUUAGGCAUUAUAUAUGCAUGAAAGCUUUCCUUUUAAGGCUGAUUUUGUUUGGUUUUAUCAUCAUGAACCUUUUUUUUUGUCUAAUAAUACUCCCAUGAAAACUGAUCUCGGCUGACAAAGGAGAGAAACCAUCUGCAGACUAGGUACAACAUCUGAUCUUCCUAUUCGUUUCACCAGAAGAUAGGAAUUCUAAAAGCAGUGCUGAUAUUAAGGAGCAGGGUGAUUAUCCUAAAGCUCGACAGAGGCUUAACAUGUCUAUCUGGAUGGCAUACAGUCAGUCAUAACUUCCUUUCUAAUUGAAACAUCAAAAACUCUUGAUCACUGUCUAAUAAGCGUCCCUUUUUAGUGUUUUUAAAAACAAUUUUAGAAAAUUAUAAUAUCACUUAUUGAGAUUCACGGAGAAAAGAAAAAAUUCACUUCCACUAAAAACACUUUCAAAGAAUACACUUUCAAAAAAUAUACAACAAAAUACUUCCUCACAAGCAAAACGCGAAUCCAAUAGUAAUCUAUAAACAAAUUCAAUGAGCCGUUCUUUCUUUCUUAUAAUCUCCAAAAGUUUUCACCAAAUUUACGAUAAUUGUCAUACUACCCAAAUUCCAGACAACCCUAAAUUUGACCUAUGAUCUCAGAUUAAAGAUUUAACUUUAAGGGUUUCUCCUAAUCCAAAUUAGCAGUCAACAAACACCUGAAAUUUAUUUUUUAUAUAAAUAAAUCAUUGUUACACGACCCAAAUUCUAGAGAACCCGAAAUUUGACCCAUGAUCUCAAGUCAAAGAUUUAACUCUAAGGGUUUCUUCUAAUCCAAAUUAAUAGUCAAUCAAAAUAUCCUGAAUUUUUUUAUAUAUAUAUAAAUAAAUCAUACAAAACUUUCCUAACUAAAGAUCUAAUCCAUCAACAUAAAAACCAAUAUUCAAGAGUAACAUGGGAAAGUAAAUACCAUUAAGGUUUCUAAUCCAAGUUUGAAAUAAUUUCUAAUCUAAGUUUGAAAUAAAUGUCUUUGAACAAAUUUAAUCAAAAUAAAGUCCAAGUACAAAUAUAGUUUAACAAUCCACUAGUACCAUUUCUAAAAUUAACAAACAUAACAACUAUACUAAAAACCCUAUAAGCUGCUCUACUAACCACCCAUAUCUUCCUUCAUUACCAUCUUCUUUCCAAUGCAAUCUAUAUAUGUUUUAGAUUACCCCACCACUGCAUUAUACCCUUUUUUCAGUGUCAAACCAAGCCCCAAAAUUCGACUCCAAAAGUAGUGCAUGUGCUCACAAUUAUUAAAUAUUCACAGUUGAUGAGGAACAAAUUUUGUUAUGAUUACUUAUGAUUAAGUUACAUGUACAUAAAAGAAAAAAAUCCGCUGACAUGUGGAGAAUAUAAGCCAUGAUCCAUAGACUAAUAAGGUAGGUAGGACCUAUGAGGAAAAAAAAUAAUGCUAGGCCAUACCUAGAAAAAAAUUAUAGUAGAUAAGAUUUUUGUAGU